AAUAAGUUGGUAGGUUCAUUCCCAGAUGAGCUUUGCCAUCUAGGUAGGCUGGCUGAAUUGGCCUUAUUGGACAAUAGGCUUUCAGGAUCUAUACCUUCUUGUGUAAGUAAUCUCACUUCUCUAAGAUCUCUCUAUUUAGGGUCCAAUAAGUUUACUUCUGUUAUUCCCUCAACCUUCUGGAGGCUAAAAGACAUCUUGUUCUUUGACUUUUCAUCAAAUUUCUUGGUUGGUCCUCUUUCUUUAGAUAUAGGAAAUUUGAAGGUGCUUCUAGGAAUAAGUUUAUCAAAAAAUAAUUUAUCCGGUGAUAUCCCAGCCACAAUUGGAGGACUGAAAGAUCUUCAAUUUAUGGACCUAGCAUAUAAUAGAUUGGAAGACCCAAUUCCCAAAUCAUUUGGUGACUUGACAAGUUUGGAGUUUUUGAAUCUGUCAAAUAAUAAAAUCUCUGGGUCUAUUCCAACAUCCAUGGAGAAACUCUUUUACCUCCGAGAGUUAAAUCUCUCUUUCAAUAAACUAGAAGGUGAGAUUCCUAGUGGAGGAAUUUUUGCCAACUUCACAGCUGAGUCAUUUAUGGGAAAUGAGUUAUUGUGUGGUUUACCAAAUCUUCAAGUCCAACCAUGCAAAAUUAGCAAGCCGAGGACAGAACAUAAAUCAAGGAAAAAGAUACUGCUCAUUGUGAUUGUUUUGCCAUUGAGUAUUGCUCUAACGAUAGCAAUCACUCUAGUUCUCAAAUAUAAGCUGAUCGAAUUUGGAAAAAGAAGCACAGUGUUAUCAAAUGAUAGUAUCUUGUCAUCACAAGCAACACUAAGAAGAUUUUCAUACUUAGAACUUUUACAAGCAACAGAUAAUUUUGCUGAAAACAACAUAAUUGGCAUAGGAGGUUUUGGUUCUGUUUAUAGAGCAAGACUUGAAGAUGGGAUGAAGAUUGCAAUAAAAGUGUUUCACCAGCAAUGUGCAAGCGCAUUGAAGAGUUUUGAGGCUGAAUGUGAAGUGUUAAAAAAUAUUCGCCAUCGAAAUCUUAUCAAAGUUAUCAGCAGUUAUUCAAACAAUGACUUCAAAGCAUUAGUCCUAGAAUACAUGUCCAACGGGAGCUUGGGGGAUUGGUUGCAUUCCAGCAAUUAUAUGCUUAAUAUAUUUCAAAGGUUGAACAUAAUGAUUGACGUUGCAUCAGCUUUAGAAUAUCUCCACUUCGAUCAUUUACCUCCUAUUAUUCAUUGUGACUUAAAGCCUAGUAAUGUAUUGUUGGACGAAAAUAUGGUUGCUCAUUUGAGUGAUUUUGGCAUUGCAAAGCUUUUAAGUGGAGAGGAUGAGUAUGUGAUGCGAACAAAAACCCUUGCCACUAUAGGUUAUAUGGCACCAGGUUUGCUUCAAACAACUUUUUUUUAGUUCAUUUUAAAUUUUCCAACUUAUUGAUUUUUACAAUCCUCACAUCAAAAUGUUAUUGAUUAUUUAUCUAAUUGUGAAAUUAAUUUGAUUCAUAGAGUAUGGCAUAGAAGGAGAAGUAUCUACAAAAAGUGAUGUGUACAGCUAUGGGAUUAUGUUAAUGGAAACUUUUACCAAGAAAAAACCCACAGAUGAAAUUUUUGUUGGAGAAUUGAGCUUAAAGCGUUGGGUUAAUGACUUGCUUCCUACUUCAUUAGUGGAAGUUGUGGACAAAACUCUGCUAAGUGGAGAGGAAAAACUUUCUGCAGCAAAGGAGCAAUGUCUGUUGUCUAUCUUUAGCUUGGCUCUGGAGUGUACAAUGGAAUCACCGGGAAAGAGGAUUAAUGCAAAAGAUAUUGUUACAGGAUUACUCAAGAUAAGAGACACAUUGAGUAAAAGGAUAGGAAACUUAAGUUAAUUUCGUUUGCUUUCAUUGAUAGUUAAUUCAAAUUCAUGUAAUAAGUGUAAGAAUCUUAUAUGCUUUCCUUAGAUUUUUUUUUGUUUGAGAAAACUGUUGUAUUCAUCUUGUUUCCAUGGGCAGAGUUGAUUUAGUUCUUCCAAGAAAUGCUACUGAUGACCUUUGUUUUAUACUUUCGCUUUUUUUUGCAUGUGUUUCGGUAGAAUAGUGGUUUGGCUCACUCAAAGAAGUCAAACUGCACUAAAAGAAUAUGAUUUAAUUUAUUAAACAAAACUUCAAGUUCAAGAAAAGUAUCUCACUGCCCCCAAUGCUUUGGACACCUAUUGGUAGGUUUGUACGUGUCCUCAACUUUUUUUUAGAGCACAAAAUUCGAGUCCCAUGGAGACUCAAACAUUCCUUUUCCGCAUCCCGAGCGUGCUAAAUUCAUCAGACUGACAAUUGGGACAUAUAGAAGAGUGAAAUGUUUGGAGCACGCUAAGUUCGAGCGAAAGAGAUUAAUUUACAGAAACUAAAGCCAAGAGAAUAAAGGACAACACUUAUGUGAAGCGACAUAAUUGUAUUGAUAGCACAAUGUCAAAUUCAUACAGAGAUCUAGUAUACUAUUUACAGCCGGUAAGGGCUAAGAAUUGAUGUAGCUAGAAUACAAAGACGAUAAGGUAUGUUGUGCACUAUUGUUUUAUUCUACGAUCAAUCUUGACCCUUGAUGCUUGGCUCUCAAUCUUGUCCAUUGAUCUUCUUUGAUUUUGUACACUUCAAGACCUUUCAGUAUCAUUCCUUGUUGUUGGUGUCUUCCGUGCUGUAGAAUUCAUAUACAAGCCUUCCCGCCGACUUGCGAAGUAUUCGUUCAUUGAUGCAUUUUAUCAAACAGCUGGGCUACUUAUACCAAACACCGCGUGGUUUAACUCCCCCUCUCUAGCUUAACUAUCUGGGAAGGCAAUUAAUUGAGAUAUGAAUUAGAAAAUUAAAUUUUAAAAAUUAUAUUCGGACUCUACAUUUUGUAAUGAACAUUGGUUUGACUUGUUAUACAUUUACGCGUACAUAAUUAAUAACCGAUUCUCAAGUGCGGACAUUCAAGAGCACUGCUUAAAGACCAAAUAUUUUGAUUUACUAUUUUUUGUCUUUCAAUUUUCUUUUACGUUCUGAUGACGUCCGCAUUUUAAAAUCCUGUGGAACAAAGGUCGAAUUGUAGAGGGUAAGCAAACAUUUAUCCGAAUUAUAUUAUGAUAAAUCCUUUUCCAAUUAGAAUUAGGAAACCAUAGAUAUACUGAUUUUUUUUGUUUAAAUGAUUUUGUGAUUUACUUGAUUGAUUGAGUGAUUGAAUAUUGUUUGAUUGCUUCAUAUCAAUUCUAGAAAGUUUAUUUCUUUGUGAAAUUUCAACGAAAUAUGUUUUUUAAAAUAAUAAAGGUGUUUUAAGUAAUUUUAAAAAAUAAAUGGACUAAUUAGAAUUAAUUAUUAAGUAAUUAACUCGAACUGUAGAGGAUAAGCAAACAUUUAUCCUAAUUAUAUUACGAUAAAUCAUUUUCCAACUAGAAUUAGGAAACCAUAGAUAUGCUGAUUUUGUUUUUUUAAUUUCUCUUUGCGAAAACGGAUUAGAGAACUAGAAAACAAUCCUAGUGAGACUAUUGUUAGGUUUAAAACACUGCAUAGAUGGUAAAAACAUGCGUGGUGAAUAUUUUGUCGCAUGCAAACUUUUUGUUUUAUGCAAAUCGUGCUGAACAUUGGGACUGAUGUUUAAGAAAAAAAUUCUGUAGUUAAAGAAAAACAAAAAAAUUCUGAUGUUUAUGCAAAAAUAGAUUACGAUAGUUUAUUCAAUUGGGAGUUUUUUUUUCUUUAAUUUUUGUUGUACUUGAUUGAGAUUUCUCCUUAGUCCUUACCGUCUUAAGUUUGGAUACCGUAGGAUUAGUAAUUUCGUACUUCCUUUGCAAGCUGAAUAUAAGGAUGAAAUUUUUUUAAGAAAUUAAAAAAAAAAGAUUAAAAAAAGGGCAUACCAGUAGGCAAUUAUAAAUUAACCACAAAUAAAUAUAAACAAAAUGUUUAUGAAGUAAAUUAAACAUGCACAUAUUAUUUUCUUUUAUUUUCUGCUUGGAAACCCAUAAAUACACUAAUCCAGUACUACUAAUUUCAGACCGAAAAAUUUGAACUCUAGGCUGCAGUUUGACUCAAAAUGAUGAUCACUGGCUUCGCACCAUUUAACCGGUAUACAUUUCUACAAACUGAACAAGGCUAUUGAUUAUUAUUAUUAUUAUUAUUUUAAUUUGUUUAUAAAUUACUAUUUUAAUUUUCACUUUUUAUUGGGUUGUUUAACGGAUUAGUGAAGUUGGUGGUCGUUGAUGCACUCACAAGGUACAAUUUUAUUUUAUAAUUUCAAAUUCGUAUUUUAAAAUGCAGGCACAUUAUGUAUACAUAAUUAUUGAUUUUCAUAUGUGGGUGUUUUGAAAUAUUGCCAAAAGACCAAACUUUAAUAAACUAUUUUUGAUCUUUUUUUUCCUUUUUAGCUAAAGUUUGAGUGAUAUCCGCAUUUUAAAUUCAUGUGGAACAAAAGCUAAUGUAUGCACAAAAUUCUUUUAUUUUUUCCGAGAAAAAUGGGUAAGAGAAGAAGAUUUUUCUCUUGAAAAAAGAAAAACCAAUACGAUGCAAGCAUAGGAAAGAGUUCAGUGUUUUGGAUUUGAAUUUAGUAUUGAGCUGAAUUUUAUGCUAAGCUCUUUUAUAGUACUGCUAAUAAUAAGCUCAGGAUUUGCUUUUGCUUUUACGUCAAGUAAAAGAAAGAGGAAACCUUUUGUUUUCUGUUUGAUUUUUGACUAUAUAUGUUACCUAUAUAGAGAGUUGAGGUAGCUGCCUUAAGUGAUGGUGAUAAAAAGAUUAAGCAACGCACACAAUCUUACUGUUGUCCAGACCAUCCAGUGAUGCUCUAGUUUUUUGGUUACAUUAGCUUUAGUGGAAAGAAGGGUCAAUUUAACAAAGACUAGAUUUGGUGGCUUACUAUAAUGCUUAUUCUCAGGGAAUCUAAUGUUAUAAGAUGAUUGAAUGAUCUUCUAUGAUUGUGUGUAGUACAAUAUAAUUGAAAGGAACCUGGGCUCCUAUGAUGAAUAACAGCAACACAUUACUAUGAUUGAGAAAACUCAGUUACAAUAAACUCUUCAUUUAUUCAUUGCUGAGAUUGAAUGGCAAACAGAGAAUAGAAUGAAGCAGAGGAAUCUCAUUGCCGGUAAAAUUGACCAUAUUUAAUGUUACUUGCAGUUUUUAUUGUAAAAUAUAUAGGUAUUGUCAAAGCCGGUGGUGGCCUAGCCAAAAUCAAAUUGGCUUUGGCAGCCGCCCAAAGAAAUAAACAAAAGAGAAAUAGAAGAAAAAGAGAUGAGGGAGAUGCCGCCUAAAGAAAUGAAGCACACGGCUUUGACUUGUUCUAAAAAAAAAAAAAGAGCCAAAAUUUUUUGCUAUAUAAAGUGGGCUUCCCACCCUCAUUUUUGCAUUCCAUUUAAGAGAGAGCAAUCUAGUAUUUUUUGAGAGAGAGUUUUGAGAGCUUGAAAUUAUAAGCUUUUGUUAUAGAAAUUUGAGAGUUUGGGUGUAUUGGGGUUUUGGGAAGUGGGCUAAAAUACUACAAUACUUGUAAUUUCUUUUUACUAAUAAAAUAUUUCCUUCUGUCUUCGCCCGUGGACGUAGGCUAAAAGCCGAACCACGUAAUUUCUAAUAUUCUCUUUUGUGAUUGUUUUUUAUUCUUCUUCCAAUUUUAUUUUAGCUGCAGUCCUGCUUCACCCACCAAUUUCCUAAUAGUGGUAUCAGAGCUAUUGGUUGUAUUUUUUGGAGUCGGGUACUAUUCACGUAAGGGUACUAUUCACAUAUAUGGUAUUGUUCACGUAUACGAUACUAUUCACGUGAAAUGGUGAGAGCGAUCCAAGAAUUUGGCGGUGCAAAAGUAGGGAAUAGUGGUGUGAGUAAAACAACUGUGUGGUUUUGUACAUGUCUAGGAAAGUUCUGUCAUAAAGACGAUAAGAGCUUAAGGAGUCUGGGUUUUAAGUGGGACCAUUGUGACCCCUCCAGUCUUUCUUGGAAACUUUCCUGGUGUGCAUAUUCACACAUACUCACAACUAUUUAAGGUGAUACACUAGUUUGUGUACAAUAUUUAUUAACAAAAUGGCGGCAAAGUAUGAAAUUAAGAAAUUUAACGGAAAUAAUUUUUCGUUGUGGAAAAUAAAGAUGAAAGCUGUAUUGAGGAAAAAUAAUUGCUUGGCAGCAAUUAGAGAAAGGCCUAUGGAGAUAACUGAUGACAAGUGGAACGAGAUAGAUGGCAACGCCAUUUCUGAUUUACACUUGGCGCAUGCAGACAGAGUAUUAUCCAGUCUGGCAGAGAAAAAUACAGCAAAGGAAAUAUGAGAUACACUCACAAAAUUGUACGAGGCCAAGUCACUACACAACAAAAUCUUCUUGAAGAGGAAACUCUAUACUCUUCGAAUGACGGAAUCUACAAUGGUGACUGACUACAUCAACAUCUUGAAAACUCUAUUUUCACAACUCACAGUGUUGGGUUAUAAUAUAGAGGAGAAUGAACGUGCAGAGCUUCUACUUCAAAGUCUACCAGAUUCGUAUGAUCAACUCAUCAUCAACCUGACAAACAACAAUCCAGCGGACAGUCUAGUUUUCGAUUAUGUUGCAGCCUCCGUAUUAAAUGAGGAGAGCAGGCGGAAAAAUAAGGAAAACAGCAAGCAAGUUCGCAUCAAGCGGAGACGCUAUUGGUGACGAGAGGGAGAUCAACGGAACGUGGCCCCAGUGAGAGUCAAAAUCAUGGUAGAUCAAAAUCUAGAAGUAAGAAGAAUGUUAAAUGCUACAAUUGUAGCAAGAAAGGGCACGUCAAGAAAGAAUGUUGGAGUAAUUAGAAGAGAAAAGAGGGCAAAGAACCUGAGUCAUCAAAUGCUCAGGGUUGUGUAGCAAGUACCUCGGAUGAUGGCGAAAUUCUCUACAGCGAGGCAACAACUGUUUCAGAAGGCAGAAAACGACUAUAUGAUGUUUGACUUAUAGACUCAGGAGCUACCUGGCACAUGACCUCUCGGAGAGAAUGGUUCCACACAUAUGAACCUAUCUUAGGAAGAUCUGUAUAUAUGGGUAAUGAUCAGGCCUUGGAGAUCACUAGUAUUGGUACUAUCAAAAUAAAAAUGUUUAAUGGUAUAAUUCGCACAAUUGGGGAGGUACGACAUGUCAACGGCUCUAAGAAAAAUCUUUUGUCUUUGGGACAAAUGGAUAGUCAUGGGUACAAAACUCAUGUGGAGAAUGGAAUUAUGAAGAUCGUUAAAGGCGCGCUUGUAUUGAUGAAGGCAGAAAAGAUCAAUGCUAAUCUAUUCAUGCUUAAAGGAGAAACACUACAGGAGGCUGAUGCGUGUGUUGCAUCAAAUGAAGAAGAGUCAACGAUGAUGUGGCAUCUCAAACUUGGCAACAUGUCGGAACAAGGUUUGAAGAUUCUCUCUAAGCAAAAAUUGCUUCCGGGGCUCAAAUCGGUAAAUUUACCAUUUUGCGAGCAUUGUGUUACAAGUAAGCAGCAUAGAUUAAAAUUCAAUAGAUCUAUUGCUAGAAGUAAAUGCAUUCUAGACUUGAUUCAUUCUAAUAUUUGAGAAUCACCGAAUAUAUCCAUAGGAGGUGCAAAAUACAUGGUGACUUUCAUUGAUGAUUAAUCCAGAAGAUGUUGGGUGUAUCCAAUUAAGAAAAAGUCAGAUGUAUUUUCAGUGUUUAAAGAAUACAAAGCGUGGGUGGAACUUGAAUCUGGUAAAAGGAUAAAGUGCUUGAGGAUAGAUAAUGGUGGAGAGUAUACAAAUGGCGAGUUUCUUGCUUUCUGUAAACAAGAAGGUAUCCAAAGGCAUUUCACGGUGGCAUACACUCCUCAAUAAAAUGGAGUGGCGGAGCGGAUAAACAGAACUCUUACAGAAAGAAUAAGAGCUAUGUUGAGGACUGCUAGUCUACCCAAUUUAUUCUGGGCAGAAGUAGCCAAAACUGCUUGUUAUAUAGUAAAUAGGUCGCCAUCUACAGCCAUUGGGCUGAAGACCGCGAUGGAGAUGUGGACUGGAAAGCCAGCUGAUUAUUCCUACCUACAUGCAUUUGGAUGUUCUAUGUACGUGAUGUACAAUGCCAAAAAAAAAACAAAGCUGAGUCCAAAAUCUAGAAAAUGUAUCUUCUUGGGGUAUGCUGAUGGAGUAAAGAGGUAUCGUCUAUGGGACCCCACUGCCCACAAGAUUGUCAUCAGCAGAGAUGUUAUGUUUAUAGAAGAUCAACUGCAAAGGAAAGAUAAGGAUUAUAGCAGUGUAAAAGAAAAGUCAAAGACUAUACUGGUAUAUGUGGAAAAUAAUCCAGAAGAUUCAGAUUCUUCUGAAGCAGCACCAGAGCACGAGGAAUGAGAACCAGUCGAGUCUGGGGCUCCAGAAGUUCGUCGGUCAACUCGUGAGAGAUGAUCGCCAACGUGGCACUCGGAGUAUGUCAUAGAGAUCAAUGUUGCAUACUAUCUUCUAAUAGAAGAUGGAGAGCCUUCAACUUUCUAUGAAGCUUUAAACAGCUCAGAUGUUGCUUUGUGGAUGACAGCAAUGCAGGAAGAAAUUGAAGCUCUACAUAAGAACAAGACAUGGGAACUUGUACCACUACUACACGGAAGAAAAGCCAUUGGAAACAAAUAGGUCUACAAGAUCAAGCGUAAUGGCAAUGACCAAGUGGAGCGGUUUCGUGCAAGAUUGGUAGUGAAAUGAUAUGCUCAAAAAGAAGGUAUUGACUUCAAUAAGAUAUUUUCGCCGAUAGUUCGACUCACAACAGUCAGAAUAAUCUUGGCAAUGUGUGCUACAUUUGACCUACAUCUAGAGCAGUUAGAUGUGAAAACUGCAUUUCUUCAUGAAGAACUUGAAGAAGAAAUAUAUGUGCUCCAACCAGAAGGUUUUAUAGAAACAGGAAAGGAAAACUUGGUUUGCAGGUUGAACAAAUCUCUAUAUGGUCUCAAACAGGCGUCGAGGUGUUGGUAUAAGAGAUUCGAUUCCUUCAUCAUGAGCCUUGGAUACAACAGAGUAAGUUCAGACCAUUGUACAUAUUAAAAAAGGUUUGAAGAUAAUGAUUUUAUUAUUUUAUUGUUGUACGUGGAUGACAUGUUGGUAGCAGGCCCCAACAAAGAUCGAGUCCAAGCAUUGAAGGCACAGUUGGCUAGGGAGUUUGAAAUGAAGGAUUUGGGACCAGCAAACAAGAUUCUAGGGAUGCAAAUUCACCGAGACAGAAAUAGCAGGAAGAUUUGGCUUUCGCAGAAGAAUUACUUGAAGAAAAUCUUGCAGCGCUUCAACAUGCAAGAUUGUAAGUCAAUUUCUACCCCACUUCCUGUUAAUUUCAAAUUAUCCUCAAGUAUGUGUCCUAGCAAUGAAGGAGAGAGGAAGGAGAUAUCUCGAGUACCGUAUGCAUCAGCAGUUGGAAGUUUGAUGUUUGCUAUGAUAUGUACAAGACCAGACAUUGCACAAGCAGUGGGAGCAGUCAGUCGAUACAUGGCCAAUCCCGGUGGAGAGCAUUGGAUAGCUGUGAAGAAGAUUCUGAGAUACAUCAGACGAACCUCAGAUGUUGCAUUAUGUUAUGGAGGAUCAGAGUUUACUGUCAGGGGCUAUGUGGAUUCAGAUUUUGUAGGAGACCUUGAGAAAAGAAAAUCUACUACUAGUUAUGUGUUCACACUUGCGGUAGCAGCUGUAAGCUAGGUUUCGAAACUGCAGACCGUUGUGGCUUUAUCUACAACAGAAGCAGAAUACAUGGCAGCUACACAAGCUUGCAAGGAAGCUAUUUGGACACAAAGAUUAUUGGAGGAGCAUGGGCACAAACAACAGAAAAUUCAUGUGUUUUGUGACAGUCAGAGUGCCUUGCACAUUGCAAGGAAUCCAGUCCUUCAUUCCAGGACAAAGCACAUAGGAGUUCAGUAUAACGCCGUUCGAGAAAUAGUGGAAGACGGAAAUGUGGAUUUACAGAAAAUCCAUACGAAGGAGAACCGAGCAGAUGUUUUGACCAAGCCGAUAAAUACUGAUAAGUUUGUUUGGAGUAGAUCCUCUUGUGGCCUAGCAGAAACGUAGGCAAUAUGAUUAUGGCGAAGCAGAAAAGAUGGUGUGGAGAUUGAUUGAUUUUCAGUCAAAUCUCCAAGUGGGAGAAAUAUCAAAGCCGGUGGUAGCCUAGCCAAAAUCAAAUUGGCUUUGGCAACCACCCAAAGAAAUAAACAUGGCUUUGGCAGCCACCUAAAGAAAUAAACAAAAGAGAAACAGAAGAAAAAGAGAUGAGGGAGGUGCCGCCCAAAGAAAUGAAGCACACGGCUUUGACUUGUUCUAAAAAAAAAAAAAAGAGCCAAAAUUUUUUUCUAUAUAAAGAGGGCUUCCCACCCUCAUUUUUGCAUUCUAUUUAAGAGAGAACAAUCUAGUAUUUUUUGAGAGAAAGAGUUUAGAGAGCUUGAAAUUAUAAGCUCUUGUUAUAGAAAUUUGAUAGUUUGGGUGUAUUGGGGUUUUGGGAAGUGGGCUAAAAUAUUACAAUACUUGUAACUCCUUUUACUAGUAAAAUAUUUCCUUCUGUCUUCGCCCGUGGAUGUAGGCUAAAAGCCGAACCACGUAAUUUCUGAUAUUCUCUUUUGUGCUUGUUCUUUAUUUUUUUUCCAAUUUUAUUUUAGCUGCAGUCCUGCUUCACCUACCAAUUUUCAAAAAGGUAUGACCAUGGUCAUUGCAGUUAGGUUUUGAUGAUUUCAGAUGCUUUUUUAAAAAAAAAUUGUGACUGACGAUUACAAUCAUUACAGCAAUGCUGAUGAGUGAUACAUCACUUGAAAUUUACUUGUCAGUUGCUGAAAUGAUGAAAAAAGACCAUAAACAAUAAGAUUAAUAAUGUUCUCUUGCUGAAUUCUAAUUUUGACUUUCAACUCUUGGUUUUUAUGGAAAGUAAAAUGACUUGUAUAUUGUUUAGAAACUCGAAUCUAACCAGUAACAAACUCGAAUCUAUCAUUAUCUAAACAAAAAACCAAGAGUUUCUAACCAGUAACAAACAAAGCAAUCUUAGUCUUUCAUGGAGCGGAACCUUAGUCUCAGUAUGAUCACUGUCUCAUUAACCCACUGCCUGCUUCUUUGCUUGGUUGUUGCAGCAACAGCAGCAGCAAGCAACAAUAUUAUCACAUACCAACAAGCUCUUCUUGCCCUGAAAGAUCAUAUCACUUAUGAUCCAACCAACCUUUUUGCCCAUAAUUGAACCUCGAAUACCUCUGUUUGUACCUGGAUUGGCAUCACUUGUGAUGUCAAUAGCCAUAGAGUCACAACCUUAGAUAUUUCUCAAUUCAAUCUACAAGGCACCAUCCCUCAACUUGGAAACCUCUCUUCACUCACAACACUUAAUUUUAGUCAUAAUAAGCUUUCUGGAAACGUUCCCUCCUCCAUCUACACCAUGCAUACGCUAAAAUUAUUAUAAGUGAAUAUGAAAUAGUUCACUCAAAGCAAGGAUAAAUGGAUGAAAGUACUACUCAUUUUAUUCACAAUGAGGUUGCCUUUUAUAGGCGUUACAUGAACAAACUUAAUGAAAUAAUAGCAGCUAUUAUUCAGCAAAUACUGCAGCCACUUUCCAGUAACUAUAGCCUAAAGACUAGGUAAACACAAUCUUGCAAAUAACAUUACCAACAAACUUCCUAAAGACUAGGACCAUAAAAGCAACUUAUUGACAUAAGGAAAUUCCAACAAUCCCUCCCUUAAACUAAAUGUUAUUAACAUUCAGUUUAAACAUUCUGCAGAAUCUUCCUCAAAUUGCAAUUUGCAAACUCCAAGUGACUUUCUCAACUUAAAAAAACUAGCCAAUUUGAGGGGUUUAGUAAAGAUGUCAGCAACUUGGUCUUCACUCUUGCAAUAAACAAGAUCAAUGACUUCAUUUUUUGUCAAGUCUCACAAGAAAUGAUAUCUCACAUCUAUGUGCUUGCAUCUUCCAUGUAGAACCGGAUUCUUUGAAAGUUUAAUUGUUGAACUAUUAUCACAGAAGAUUUGUGUUGACUUUGGUUGCUUAAACUGAAGUUCAUGAAGAAUAUUUCUUAGCCAAAGUGCUUGACAUGCACAAGAAGCUGCUGCAACAAACUCAGCUUCAGUUGUUGACAAAGUAACUAUCGGUUGCUUCUUAGAUGACCAUGAAAUAGCUGCUGAACCAAACAUAAAUACAUAUCCAGAUGUGCUUCUUCUGUCAUCCAAAUCUCCAGCAUAAUCAGUGUCUAUAAAGCCAUACAAAUUUGAUUUUUUACCCUUUUUAUAGAACAACCCAAAUUCAGCUGUACCACGCAAGUAUCGAAGAAUUCUUUUUGCAGCUAAAAGAUGAUCCUCUCUUGGACGCUCCAUAUAUCUGCUGAUGGAACUAACUGCAUGCAUUAUAUCAGGUCGAGUUGCCGUUAAGUACAUCAAGCUUCCAACAAUCUGUUUGUAAAGGGUACUAUCAAGCAGGAUCCUUAACAAACUUCAAUCCUUUUUCAAUUGGAGUAGUGACAGAGUUGCAGUUCUUCAUUUGAAAUCUUUCUAAGAUCUCUUUCACAUAUUUCUUUUGACAAAUAAAAUUUCCAGCAUCAGAUUGUAUGACUUCUAAGCCAAGAAAAUAAUGCAGCAAACCAACAUCAGUCAUAUCAAAUUCAAGCAUCAUGGAUUCCUUGAAUUUCUCAAACAUUACUCUGUCAUUUCCCGUGUAAAUCAAAUCAUCUACAUAUAAACAUACCAUAAGCAUUUUCCCAUCAUCUCCAAUUUUUAUGUACAGAGUAUGCUCAUAUGGGCAUUUUCGAAAACCUUCCUCCAAGAAAUAAGCAUCUAUAUGACUAUACCAAGCUCGGGGUGCUUGUUUUAGUCCAUAUAGAGCUUUUUUCAAUUUAUAGACUUUAUGCUCACUGCCUAAUUUCACAUAUCUAGGAGGUUGUUCGAUAAAUACCUCUUCUUGUAGCUCCCUAUGCAAGAAUGCUGAUUUCACGUCCAGUUGAAAAACAGGCCAUGAAUUUUGUGCUGCAAGAGCAAUAAUCAAUCUGAUCGUUUCAAGUCUUGCAACGAGAGAAAAUACUUCUUUAUAAUCCGCGCCGAACUCUUGCUUGUAGCCUUUGGCGACUAGGAGUGCCUUGUAUUUAUCAAUUUCACCAUUUUCCUUCAAUUUUGUCUUGUAAACCCACUUGACUCCUAUUGUCCUCUGCCCCAUUGGAAGUUCAGUCAACUCCCAAGUAUUAUUUUUUUCAAUGGAUGCAAUUUCUUCGUCCAUGGAUUUUAGCCAUUUUUGUUCUUUGACAGCUUCUUUAAAAGUUGUAGGAUCACAUUCUGAAAACAAGGCAAAGUGUAUGAGUGGAUUCUCAAGAGUGUUAAAUCUUGUUACCUCAUAAUCUGACAUCCAUGCAGGCCUUCUUCUAUCACGUUGAGAACGUGAAUCUGUAGCUUCAACUUGUUCAUUAAGUUCAUUUGUUGCUGGUGGAGUUUCUACUGAGACUCUAUUUUGCGGCAGGUCAGGAGCAGAGACUGUUGAAGGCUGAAGUUGCUGUGAAUUUUCUUCAAUUUCACCAUCGAAAUCUGCUGGAAUUUGCUGCCCAAUAGAACUGCAUCUCCACAUCCAUGUCUUCUCUUCAUAAAAAAUGACAUCACGACUAAUGACAAUUUUCUUGAUGAUGGGAUCAUAUAAUUUGUAGGCCUUUGAAUGAUCACUAACACUAAGAAAACUGCACUUUACACCUUUGUCAUCUAAUUUUCUUCUUUUCUCAUCUGGUAUGUGGACAUAUGCUAUACAUCCAAAUACCCGAAAGUGAUCUACUGCCGGCUUACAUCCACUCCAUGCUUCUUCAGGAGUUAUAUUUUGAACAGCUAUUGUGGGGCUUCUGUUCAAAAUAUAAACACUCCAAACAACUGCUUCAGGCCAAAAACUUUUGGGAAGACCACUCCUCCGCAGAAGGCUUCGUACCAUAUUAAGAAUUGUACGAUUUUUCCUCUCGCAUACACCAUUUUGCUGAGGUGUGUAGGCUGUUGUCAAUUGUCUUCUAAUUCCAUGAUUUUUGCAAAAGCUUCCAAAUUCUUGAGAGUUGAACUCUCCACCACGAUCAGUACGCAAUAUUUUAAUUUGGCUGUCAGCUUCUCUUUCAACUAAUGCUUUAAACAUUUAAAAGGCUGUGAAAACUUCCGAUUUUUCUUGCAAGAAAUAAACCCAGGUUUUUCAACUAAAAUCAUCAAUAAUUGAGAUAAAAUAUCGUUUACCUCCAUUUGAUGUUGGCUUGAUUGGCCCACAUAAGUCUGAAUGCACUAGCUCCAGCACUUUCUUUGCCCUCCGGGAUUUUCCUUUUGGAAAAUUAUCUCGAUGUUGCUUACUGACAAUACACUCUUCGCAAAGCUGUGAAGGUUGCUCAAAUUUCUAGACUUCACGGAUAACCAGCUCUCUGGUUCAGUGUCUUCCUUCGUCUUCAACAUGUCUUCAAUAUUAGACAUUCGUUUGACUAAUAACAGACUCUGGUGAGCUUCCGAAAAAUAUUUGCAACUAUAUUCCUUAUUUGAAAGCCCUUUCUUUAGACAAAAACAUGUUUCAUGGCAAAAUUCCUUAUGCUUUAUCAAAGUGCAAACAACUGCAACAAUUAAAUUUGCAGUUCAAUAAUUUAUCCGGUGCAAUACCGAAAGAAAUCGGCAACUUGACUAUGCUCAAAGGGAUAUAUCUCGGCUACAACAAACUCCACGGUAUGCUCAUAAUACUAUACAAAUAUUAUCUUUCUUGAAUACUUUAGAUAAGAUCUUGUAUGUGAGAUUUUUUUGCAUCUAUAUUAAUUUUCCAGGUGAGAUACCGCACGAAAUCGCUAAUCUUCGAAAUCUAGAGGCUUUAGCGCUUGGAAUGAACAACCUAGUUGGUGUGGUAUCAGCUCCAAUAUUCAACAUGUCAACAUUGAAGAUAAUUAUCCUCAUAAAUAACUCCCUCUUCGGAAGUCUUCCAUCAAGAAUAGGCCUUUCACUUCCAACUGUUGAGCAUCUUAACUUGGAACUUAAUAGAUUUUCUGGAACCAUUCCUAGUUCCAUCACCAAUGCUUCUAAGCUCACCCUUCUAAAGUUGGGAGGAAACACAUUUUCGGGCCUUAUUCCGGACACAAUUGGUAAUUUAAGAAACCUUGAGUGGCUCGGCUUGGCUUAUAACAACUUGACAUCUUCAACCUCAAAAUUGAGCUUUCUUUCCUCUUUGGCAAAUUGCAUGAAAUUAAGAUCCUUAAACUUAAUAGGCAAUCCACUUGACGGCUUCCUUCCAAGUUCAAUAGGUAAUCUUUCUAUGUCCUUGGAAACACUUCUCAUCACCAAUUGCAGUAUUAGUGGCAACAUUCCUCAAGCAAUUUCAACCAAAUAUCUUUUUCAAAAUAAUUAGGGUGUUUUAAGCAAUUUGAAAAAUAAAUGGAGUAAUUAAAAUUAUUUAGUAGGUAAUUAACUUGAACGGUAGAGGGUAAGCGAACAUUUAUCCCAAUUAUAUUAUGAGAAAUCCUUUUCCGAUUAGAAUUAGGAAACCGAGGUAUACUGAUUUUUUUGUUUUUUUAAUUUCCCUAUGCGAAAACGGAUUAGAGAAUAAGAAAACAAUCCUAGUGAUAUUAUUGUUAGGUUUAAAACACUGCAUAGAUAGUAAAAAGCGAACUAGUCUGUAGAGUAAUUUGUUAAUUGCUAUCGCCUCUCCAUGCAUGGUGAAUAAUUUGUUGCAUGCAAACUUUUUAUGUAUAAGAAAAAAAUUCUGUAGUUUAAGAAAAACAAAAAGGCAUGUUGAAUAGAUUACAAUAGUUUAAGGAAAAAAAUUAUUCAAUUGGGAAUUUUUUUUUCUUUAAUUUUUGUUGUACUUGAUUGAGAUUUCUCCUUAUUCCUUACAGUUUUAAGUUUGGAUACCGUAGGAUUAGUAAUUUCGUACUUCCUUUGCAAGCUGAGUAUAAGGAAGAAAUUCUUUUAAGAAAUUAAAAAAGAUAAAAAAAAGGCAUACCAGUAGGCAAUUAUAAAUAACCACAAAUAAAUAUAAACAAAAUGUUUAUGAAGUAAAUUAAACAUGCACAUAUUAUUUUCUUUUAUUUUCUGCUUGGAAACCCAUAAAUACACUAAUCCAGUACUACUAAUUUCAAACAGAAAAAUUUGAACUCUGGGCUGCAGUUUGACUCAAAAUGAUGAUCACUGGCUUCGCACCAUUUAACCGGUAUACAUUUCUACAAACUGAACAAGGCUAUUGAUUAUUAUUAUUAUUUUAAUUUGUUUAUAAAUUACUACUUUAAUUUUCACUUUUUAUUGGGUUGUUUAACGGAUUGGUGAAGUUGGUGGUCGUUGAUGCACUCACAAUGUACAAUUUUAUUUUAUAAUUUCAAAUUGGUAUUUUAAAAUGCAGGUACAUUGUGUAUACAUAAUUAUUGAUUUUCGAAUGAGGGUGUUUUGAAAUAUUGCUAAAAGACCAAACUUUAAUAAACUAUUUUUGAUCUUUUUUUUCUUCCUAAAGUUUGGGUGAUAUGCGCAUUUUAAAUUCAUGUGUAACAAAAGUUAAUGUAUGUAUAAAAAUUCUUUUAUUUUACUGAGCAAAAUAGGCAAGCGAAAAAGUUUUGGCAAAUGAGUUGCAACUGAAUUCAAAACCAAUACAAUGCGAGCAUAGGAAAGAGGUCAGUGUUCAGGAUUUGAAUUUAGUAUUAAGCUGAAUUUUAUGGUAAGCUCUUUUAUAGUACUGUAAUUAGUAAGCUAAGCCCCGGAUUUGCUUUUGCUUUUGCUUUUACUUCAAGUGAAAGAAAGAGGAAACCUUUUGUUUUUUCUUUGGUUUUCAACUAUGUUACCUAUACAGAGAGUCAAGAUACCUGCCAUAAGUGAUGGUGUUAAAAAGAUUAAGCAGAGCACACAAUCUUACUGUCGUCUAGACCAUCCAGUGAUGACUCUAGUCUUUUGGUUACGUUAGUUUUAGUUGAAAGAAGGGCCAAUUUAACAAAGACUAGAUUUGAUGGCUCACUAUGUUUAAUGUAAUGCUAAUUCUCAGGGAAUCUAAUGUUAUAACUUAUAAGAUGAUCUCCUAUGUUGAAUAACAGUAACACAUUACUGUGAUUGAGAGAACACAGUUACAAUAAACUCUUCCUUUACUCAUUGCGGAGAUUUAAUAGCAAACAGAGAAUAGAAUGAAGCAGAGGAAUCUCAUUGCCAGUAAAAUUGACCCUCUUUAUUAUUAUAUGGCACAGGUGUGGAGGAAGAACAAGUUACUUGCAGUUUUUAUUGUAAAAUAUACAGGUAUGACCAUGAUCAUUAUAGUUAGGUUUUGAUGAUUUCAGAUGCUUUUUUUUUUUAAAAAAAAAUUGUGACAUCUUUGAUUUACGGUAGUUUUGCAGAAAAAAAUAUCUAAAAAUUAAGAGGGAUGAGUUAACUGACGAUUACAAUCAUUACAACAAUGCUGAUGAGUGAUACAUCACUUGAAAUUUACUUGUCAGUUGCUGAAAUGAUGGAAAAAAACAAUAAACGAUAACAAUAAUAAUGUUCCCUUGCUGAAAUUCAAUUUUGACUUUCGACUCUUGGCUUUUAUGGAAAGUAAAAUGACUUGUACAUUAUACUCAUACAAUCCACUCUACAUAAUGAUAUCAUUUUAAUAAGGCAAUGGCUGAUGAUCUCCAUUGAAAAACUACUUCAAUUUUUUUGCUUUAUUUAACUUUUUGGUUGUUGAAAAUAACCUUAAUUAUCAAAUAUUUGGAGAAAGACAAAGGGUGCUUGCAGAAGUGGCAAUAUAUAUAUAUAUAUAAAAGGAGAAGUUGAAGAGAAAGGGUGCUUGCAGAAGUGGGUGUCAAAGAUAAAUCGGUCCAUAAGAAUUAUUACGGUUAUUUUUUGGCAAUAUAAAAAUUUUUUAGCAAAUAAAAAUUAAUUUUUUUCCAAUUUACUAAAAAAUUAAUUAAAAACUUCUGCGAUGGCAUUUUUUAUGGGUGCAUAUACCCUCCCUUUAAAAGAAAAAAUAAUAAUUAAUACUUAAUAUAGUAUUAAAUACGAAAAUAUCAAUAUUUGACUACUCAAAUUUAUAUCAAUAGGUCCUUAAAAUUUAAAAUUGAAGAUACAAGAGGAAAUAUAUAUAAAUUUAAUUCUCAUCGGAAAGGAUCCUCUUAUAAUUUUAUAUAUUUGAGCUUUGAAAGAUUUUUUGAAACAAAUGUACUUUUAUUUAUGUACAAUCAAUAUUUACUUAUUCAUUAUAUAUUUAUUUACUAACUAUCAAUCAUGUUAAUAUAUUUAGUCAGAAAAAUCAUAUCAAGAAAAAAUCAUGAUCCCACGCACAGAUAAAUACGUUAAUUUCUAUACUAUUCACUUACCUGUGUAAUCAAUUAUCUAAAAUGCAAGUUUGUGGCUACGGAAAACUCUCCAAAGAAAGAAGAUAAUAACAAUUGAGCAUUGAUAGCAAAACUAAUGCAUCAUUUUCUUCUUGACUUGAUGAGAUGACGCCAUGAUGUAAAAACAAGUACCUAAAUUGACCGGCAUUGAGUGAUGUGAAUACUACCAGCCGGUUCAUCUCUUCCAGUCUUGCUUAGUUACAAUCACAAACACCACGAGAUCGACAUUUGCAUUAUAUAUAUCUUCAGCAGUCGAAACACCUUGCAUUACCAAUAAACCAGUAACAAACAAAGCAAUCUUUCAUGGAGAGAAACCUUAGUCUCAGUAUGAUCACUGUGUCAUUAACCCACUGCCUGCUUCUUUGCUUGGUUGUUGCAGCAGCAGCAGCAGCAAGCAGCAAUAUUCCCACAGACCAACAAGCUCUUCUUGCCCUGAAAGAUCAUAUAAUUUAUGAUCCGACCAACCUUUUAGCCCAUAAUUGGACCUCGAAUACCUCUGUUUGUACCUGGAUUGGCAUCACUUGUGAUGUCAAUAGCCAUAGAGUCACAACCUUAGAUAUUUCUCAAUUCAAUCUACAAGGCACCAUCCCUCCUCAACUUGGAAACCUCUCUUCACUCACAACACUUAAUCUUAGUCAUAAUAAGCUUUCUGGAAGCAUUCCCCCUCCAUCUACACCAUGCAUACGCUAAAAUUUCUAGACUCCACUGAUAACCAGCUCUCUGGUUCAGUGUCUUCCUUCGUCUUCAACAUGACUUCAAUAUUCGACAUUCGUUUGACCAAUAACAGACUUUCCGGUGAGCUUCCGAAAAAUAUUUGCAAUUACCUUCCUCAUUUGAAAGCCCUUUUUUUGGACAAAAACAUGUUUCAUGGAAAAAUUCCUUCUGCUUUAUCAAAGUGCAAACAACUGCAACAAUUAAAUUUGCAUUCCAAUAAUUUAUCCGGGGCAAUACCAAAAGAAAUCGGCAACUUGACUAUGCUCAAAGGGAUAGACCUCGGCUACAACAAACUCCACGGUAUGUUCAUAAUACUAUCUAAAUAUUUUAAUUUAUCACUUGUUAAUUUUCUUGAAUACCUUAGAUAAGAUCUUGUAAGUGAGAUUUUUUGCAUCUAUGUUAAUUUACCAGGUGAGAUACCACACGAAAUCGCUAAUCUUCGAAAUCUAGAGGCUUUAGUGCUUGGAAUGAACAACCUAGUUGGUAUGGUAUCAGCUACAAUCUUCAACAUGUCAACAGUGAAGGUGAUUAUCCUCAUAAAUAACUCUCUCUCUGGAAGUCUUCCAUCAAGAAUGGACCUUUCACUUCCAACUAUUGAGCAUCUUAACUUGGCACUUAAUAGAUUUUCUGGAACCAUUCCUAGUUCUAUCACCAAUGCUUCUAAGCUCACCUUUCUAGAGUUGGGAGGAAACACAUUUUCGGGCUUUAUUCCAAACACAUUUGGUAAUUUAAGAAACCUUGAGCUGCUCGACUUGGCUAAUAACUACUUGACAUCUUCAACCUCAAAAUUGAGCUUCCUUUCCUCUUUGGCAAAUUGCAAGAAAUUAAGAACCUUAAGAUUAAGUGGCAAUCCACUUGACGGCGUCCUUCCAAGUUCAAUAGGAAAUCUUUCUAAGUCUUUGGAAACACUUGUCAUCGUCAAUUGCAGUAUUAGUGGCAACAUUCCUCGAGCAAUUGGCAAUUUAAGCAACUUGUUGGCCUUAGUAUUAGAAGCCAAUAAAUUGACUGGACCAAUUCCAAUUACAUUCGGCCGACUACAGAAACUCCAAGGCUUAGAUCUUGCAUUCAAUAAGUUGGUAGGUUCAUUCCCAGAUGAGCUUUGCCAUCUAGCUAGGCUGGCUGAAUUGGUCUUAUUUGGCAAUAAGCUUUCAGGAUCUAUACCUUCAUGCCUAAGUAAUCUCACUUCUCUAAGAUCUCUCUACUUAGGGUCCAAUAGGUUUACUUCUGUUAUUCCCUCAACUUUCUGGAGCCUAAAAGACAUCUUGUUCUUUGACUUUUCAUCAAAUUUCUUGGUUGGUCCUCUUUCUUUAGACAUAGGAAAUUUGAAGGUGCUUGUAAGAAUAAAUUUAUCAAAAAAUAACUUAUCCGGUGAUAUCCCAGCCACAAUUGGAGGACUGAAAGAUCUUCAAUUUAUGGACGUAGCAUAUAAUAGAUUGGAAGGCCCAAUUCCUGAAUCAUUUGGUGACUUGACAAGUUUGGAGGUUUUGAAUUUGUCAAAAAAUAAAAUCUCUGGGUCUAUUCCAACAUCCAUGGAGAAACUCUUUUACCUCCGAGAGUUAAAUCUCUCUUUCAAUGAACUAGAAGGUGAGAUUCCCAGUGGAGGAAUUUUUGCCAACUUCACAGCUGAGUCAUUUAUGGGAAAUGAGUUAUUGUGUGGUUUACCAAGUCUUCAAGUCCAACCAUGCAAAGUUAGCAAGCCGAGGACAGAACAUAAAUCAAGGAAAAAGAUACUUCUCAUUGUGAUUGUUUUGCCAUUGAGUAUUGCUCUAACAAUAGCAAUCACACUAGCUCUCAAAUCUAAGCUGAUCGAAUGUGGAAAAAGAAGCACAGUGUUGUCAAAUGAUAGUGUCUUGUCAUCACAAGCAACACUAAGAAGAUUUUCAUACUUAGAACUUUUACAAGCAACAGAUAAUUUUGCUGAAAACAACGUAAUUGGCAUUGGAGGUUUUGGUUCUGUUUAUAGAGCAAGACUUGAAGAUGGGAUGAAGAUUGCAAUAAAAGUGUUUCACCAGCAAUGUGCAAGCGCAUUGAAGAGUUUUGAGGCUGAAUGUGAAGUGUUAAAAAAUAUUCGCCAUCGAAAUCUUCUCAAAGUUAUCAGCAGUUAUUCAAACAAUGACUUCAAAGCAUUAGUCCUAGAAUACAUGUCCAACGGGAGCUUGGGGGAUUGGCUGCAUUCUAGCAAUUAUAUGCUGAAUAUAUUUCAAAGGUUGAACAUAAUGAUUGACGUUGCAUCAGCUUUAGAAUAUCUCCACUUCGAUCAUUCAACUCCUAUCAUUCACUGUGACUUAAAGCCUAGUAAUGUAUUGUUGGACGAAAAUAUGGUUGCUCAUUUGAGUGAUUUUGGCAUAGCAAAGCUUUUAAGUGGAGAGGAUGAGUAUUUGAUGCGAACAAAAACCCUUGCCACUAUAGGUUAUAUGGCACCAGGUUUGCUUCAAACAAUUGUUUUUUUUUAAGUUCAUUUUAAAUUUUCCAAAUCAUUGAUUUUUACGAUCCUCACAUCAAAAUUUUCUUGAUUAUUUAUCUAAUUGUGAAAUUAAUUUUAUUCAUAGAGUACGGCAUAGAAGGAGAAGUAUCUACAAAAAGUGAUGUUUACAGCUAUGGGAUUAUGUUGAUGGAAACUUUUACUAAGAAAAACCCCACAGAUGAAAUUUUUGUUGGAGAAUUGAGCUUAAAGCGUUGGGUUAAUGACUUGCUUCCUACUUCAUUAGUGGAAGUUGUGGACAAAACUCUGCUAAGUGGAGAGGAAAAACAUUCUGCAGUAAAGGAGCAAUGUCUGUUGUCUAUCUUUAGUUUGGCUCUGGAGUGUACAAUGGAAUCACCGGAAAAGAGGAUUAAUGCAAAAGAUGUUGUUACCAGAUUACUCAAGAUAAGAGACACAUUGAGUAAAAGGAUAGGAAACUGAAGUUAAUUUCGUUUGCUUUCAUUGAUAGUUAAUUCAAAUUCAUGUAAUAAGUGUAAGAAUCUUAUAUCCUUUCCUUUGAUUUUUUUUUUUUUUUGAGAAAACUGUUGUAGUCAUCUUGUUUCACUGCCCCCAAUGCUUUGGACACCUACUGGUAGGUUUGUACGUGUCCUCAACUUUUUUUAGGAGCACAAAAUUCGAGUCCCAUGGAGACUCAAACAUUCCUUUCCCACAUCCCGAGCACGCUAAGUUCGAGUGAAAGAGAUUAAUUUACGGAAACUAAAGCCAAGAGAAUAAAGGACAACACUUAUGUGAAGCGACAUAAAUGUAUUGAUAGCACAAUGUCAAAUUCAUACAGAGAUCUAGUAUACUAUUUACAGCCGGUAAGGGCUAAGAAUUGAUGUAGCUAGAAUACAAAGACGAUAAGGUAUGUUGUGCACUAUUGUUUUAUUCUACGAUCAAUCUUGACCCUUGAUGCUUGGCUCUCAAUCUUGUCCAUUGAUCUUCUUUGAUUUUGUACACUUCAAGACCUUUCAGUAUCAUUCCUUGUUGUUGGUGUCUUCCGUGCUGUAGAAUUCAUAUACAAGCCUUCCCGCCGACUUGCGAAGUAUUCGUUCAUUGAUGCAUUUUUAUCAAACAGUUGGCCGACUUGCCAAGUAUCAUGCCUUGUUAUAGGUAGGCUUGGUAGGAUUAUGGGUCGGUCGGUAGAUGUACAUGUGUUAAAGCUUUUGAAUUUAUGCCAAUUGAAAAUAAAAAAGAAUCUACAUAAAUUUUCAACGAGGCUAUUACCACAAUAAGCAUUUGGAUGAAUUAUUAUUGAAUCCUUUCUGAGAAGUAGGACAUGUCAGACAUCAAAGCACUGAGAUAUCUUCAAAUAGUGGUAACCCCCACGCAACAAGGCACAAUAAAUUAUACAGAUAAAAUCCUUCACUCUUUCGUAAUCAUCAGUGUAGGCACGGUGAUGCGUCAGACAGAUAUGGGUCGGAUCCACUCCAGCUCCAUAUCAAGAUUCAUAAACCAUGACAAAAAUAGAGAAUCAUAGGUGUUGCAGAUAGUGAUGGUUGUUGAUGCACUCGUGAUUUAAAAUUUUAUUUUAUAUCUUCAAGUUCGCAUUUUAAGUGUCCUUUUUUUUAAUUUUUUAUUGUGAUCAUUAUAACUUGUCAAAUCUAUUUUUAAAUAAUUUUUUAAAAAUAUUUUAUUAACAAUGAUAUGAAAAUAUUCGAACACCUUUUCAUAGUAAAGUGAAUUAUUAUCCGACGAUCCAACUCAUGUUUUCAAAUUGUAAAUUGCAAAUCGUGUGUUUGCUCCAUUACAGAGUUUCAUCAAUUUGAAAUAGAGAAUCAUUUGUGUUCUAGAUUAAUCGAGGGUCUAUAUCCAAAUCUAAAAAUUGACUAACUUGGUUUCUAUUAAAUUCUUAAUCCUAACAAGAAAAAUAGAAGAUUAAAAAUGACUAAUUUGGUUUCUAUUAAUUUGAGUAACGAUCGAAUUACCUAAUUUAUUAAGAUUUAUCAAAAUCCUAUGUCAAAAUCCAUUAAUGAUAUAGGUUCAAUGACGAAAUAGUCACUUGUUAUUAUUUUUGACUUCAUAAAUAGAUGAACGGAUGUUAUUUUUGGAUUCUGGAGAAUCGAAAAUAUCAGGAUAGGUGAUAAAUGGAAUUAAGUUGUAGAUAAGAUAGAAAUGGAUUUGGAGAGAGAUUGGAAUCCUGGGUAAUCCGGAGUACGUUGUUGUGUUGAAUGCUCGUUGACUUCACGUUGACUGAAACAUUAUUGGAAGAAGUGAGCAAGCUUAUUUUCUUCUCUCAUUUUUUAAAUUUGUCUUAAGUUUAUUGAUGUGAGGCCUUUGAGAUUGUAAGUUUCAAAUCUGAGAAGAAUAACCACACACCCAUUAUCCUAUUACUCUUAUUUUAUCACAUGAAGAGAAUUCGAAGUUUGAUAAAUUUGUGAGGAUUGUGAGGGUUGAUGCAAUAUAAUUUAGAUGCAAAGUGUUUACAAGUACGAUGCUUCAUAAGUGUUCUUGAAUCAUUAUAAACUCACGUUAUUUUUAUAAUGAUUGUUUCAUCUGCACAUGGAUAUAAUCAUAUGUUGAGAUUUUUUCCUAAAUUAUGGUCUUAUUUGGUAUUGAGGUGUUAGAUCUUUUAAGUUACAAUUACUAUUGGAAAAAAAAGUGCAACUAUGAAAUAAAAGUUAAUAUUGUGUACUAAAUAUAAUUGUUAAAUAAUAAUUUUGACAAAAUUAGUGAAGAUAUAUAGGUUUUUUUUUAAUCAUCUAAGUGUAAAAUCAAAUCAACUUAACUUCUAAACUAUAUAGCAGCUACUGUUUACCAAAUACUUUAGUACUGUAACUUUUAAGUUAUAGCUGCCUAACCUCAGUCUCAAACAAUGGCUAUAAAGAUCAAAGAUUUCCUCAUAAAAAUUAUACGUCUUGUGAUUGCUUAUUUAAUUUAUAUUUUUUUAUUUAUCUUUAUUAAUUACAGUCAUCUUUUAAUAAAUUACAAUUGCAGGAAGUUGAUGUUCGAAGUGCUUAUGUCGACUCAAAGUUGUUGGGAAUUAAUGCAUGUAUUGAUUUAUUGGGAGUGUUUAAAUGAUUUUGUGAUUUACUUGAUUGAUUGAUUGAAUAAUGUUUGAUUGCUUCAUAUCCGUUCUAGAAAGUUUAUUUCUUUGUGAAAUUUCAAUGAAAUAUGUUUUUUUAAAUUAUAAGGGUUUUUUAAGUAAUUUUAAAAAUAAAUGAACUAAUAAGGAUUAAUUAUUAGGUAAUUAACUUGAACUAUACAGGGUAAGCGAACAUGUAUCCUAAUUAUAUCAUGAUAAAUCCUUUUCCGAUCAGAAUUAGGAAACCAUAAGUAUAUUGAUUUUUUUUUCCAAUUCUCCUUUGCGAAAACGGAUUACAGAAUUAGAAAACAAUCCUAAUGAUAUUAUUGUUAGGUUUAAAACACUGCAUAGAUAGUAAAAAGCUAACUAGUUCGUAGAGUAAUUUGUUAAUUGCUAUCGCCUCUGCCUGCGCGGUGAAUAAUUUGUUGCAUGCAAAUUUUUUAUUUUAUGCAAAUCGUACUGAACAUUGGAAUUGAUGUAUAAGCAAAAAUACAAGAGUAUUUAUGUCAAUACAAAUUUUUUUUUUCCAUUUUAAAUAAACACAACGCGAUGUUUAUCUGCUCCGCGUUUUUGCAAUCUGUUUAUUCGUUGUUUAUUUGCUUCUUAAGGCCUCAAACUUUGAUAACCAAAAAUUUCACCAAACUAUGAAAAAUAUUCUGCAGGUUAGUUUUUAUUUUCGGAAUAAUUAUUUGAGAAUACUAAAACACAAUAUAAAAUAAGAAAAUAGGGGGUUAAAAUUUGAAAAAAAAACAAAAGGGCAUGUUGGAUAGAUUACUGUAGUUUAAGAAAAAAAUUAUUCAGUUGGGAAUUUUUUUUCUUUAAUUUUUGUUUUACUUAAUUGAGAUUUCUCCUUAAUCCUUACAGUUUUAAAUUUGGAUAACAUAGGAUUAGUAAUUUAGUACUUCCUUUGCAAGCCGAGGUUAAUGAUGAAAUUCUUUUAAGAAAAAAGAUAAAAGAGCAUACCAAUAGUCAAUUAUAAAUAACCACAAAUAAAUACAAACAAAAUGUUUAUGAAGUAAAUUAAAAAUGUGCAUAUUAUUUUUUUUUUAUUUCUUACUAAUCUUUGUAUUUGCUGCUUGAAAAACCAUAAAUACACAGAUGACCAUUGGCUUCGCACCAUUUAAUUGGGAUACAUUUCUACGUACAAACUGAACAAGGCUAUUGAUUUUUAUUAUUAUUUUUAUUUAUUUAUAAAUUACUAUUUCAAUUUUCACUUUUUAUUGGGUUGUUUAAUGGAUUAGUGAGGCUGGUGGUCGUUGAUGCACUCACAAGGUACAAUUUUGUUUUCCAAUUUCAAAUUCGUAUUUUAAAAUGCAGCACAUUAUGUAUACAUAAUUAUUGAUUUUCAUAUGUGGGUGUUUUGAAAUAUUGCUAAAAGACCAAACUUUAAUAAACUAUUUUUGAUCCUUUUUUGUUUCUUUUUUCCUAAAGUUUGAGUGAUAUCCGCAUUUUUAAAAGCUAAUGUAUGCAAAAAAUUCUUUUAUUUUUCUGGGGAAAAUAGGCAAGAGAAAACGUUUUGGCAAAUGAGUUGCAACUGAAUUCAAAACCAAUACGAUGCGAGCAUAGGAAAGAGGUCAGUGUUUUGGAUUUGAAUUUAGUAUUGAGCUGAAUUUUAUGUUUAACACAUGAUUCUAUUAUAGUACUGCGAUUAAUAAGCUCAGCCCCGGAUUUGCUUUUGCUUUUGCUUUUACUUCAAGUGAAAGAAAGAGGAAACCUUUUGUUUUUUCUUUGGUUUUUGACUAUGUUACCUAUACAGAGAGUCAAGAUAUCAGCCAUAAGUGAUGGUGUUAAAAAGAUUAAGCAGCGCACACAAUCUUACUGCUGUCUAGACCAUCCAAUGAUGACUCCAGUCUUUUGGUUACAUUAGCUUUAGUUGAAAUAAGGGCCAAUUUAGCAAACACUAGCUUUGGCGGCUUACUAUGUUUAAUGUAAUGCUUAUUCUCAAGGAAUCUAAUGUUAUAAGAUGAUUGAAUGAUCUUCUAUGAUUGUGAGUAGUAUAGGAUAAUUGAAAAGAGCCUGGCUCCUAUGAUAAAUAACAGUAACACAGUACUGUGAUUGAAAAAGUUCAGUUACAAAAACUUAGUUACAGUAAACUCUUCAUUUAUUCAUUGCGGAGAUUGAAUGGCAAAAAGAGAAUAGAAUGAAGCAGAGGAAUCUCAUUGCCAAUAAAAUUGACCCUCUUUAAUGUUAUAUGGCACAGGUAUGUUUACAUCAAGAACAAGUUACUUACAGUUUUUAUUGUAGUUAAGUUUUGAUGAUUUCAGAUGCUUUUUUUUUUUAAUUGUGACACCUUUGAUUUAUAAUAAUAUUGCAAAUAUAUAUAUAUAUAUAUAUUAGUAGUUUUUUGGUCCGAAAUUUUAAAGUGUGAGAAAGUAUGAGAAAGCUUUAAAACCGCACGGUGUUAAAGGCUUACAGUUUUAAGCAUUUUAAUCCAUGCGGUUUUAAAGUUUUACUGGAUUUUUCCGCACUUUAAAAUUCCAGACUGAAACAUUUCUGUAUAUAUAUACAUAUAAAUAUAUAAAUUAAGAGGGAUGAGUUAACUGAAGAUUAUAAUCAUUACAACAAUGCUGAUGAGUGAUACAUCACUUGAAAUUUACUUAUCAGUUGCUGAAAUGAUGAAAAAAAAACAAUAAACAAUAACAGUGAUAAUGUUCUCUUGCUAAAAUGACUUGUAUAUUAUACAAUCCACUCUACUUAAUGAUAUCGUUUUAAUAAAUGUUUGAUGAUCUCCAUUUAAAAACUACUUCAAUUUUUUUCUUCAUUUAACUUUUUGGUUGUUGAAAAUAACCUUAAUUAUCAAAUAAUUGGAGAAAGAGUAAAGAACAUUUAACAAAUUUAUGUGUAAAAAAAAAAAGGAGAAGUUGAAGAGAAAGGGUGCUUGCAGAAGUAGGUGUCAAAGAUAAAUCGGUCCAUAGGAAUUAUUUGUUGAGAUAUAAUUAAUAAUCUAGUAAAUUGAGCAAGAAGUUUGAAGGGUUAUUUGGUUUGUUUUUCAACAUGAAGUAAAGGGUAGAAUUGAUGUUUGCAAUGUAGCUUUGGAAAUGUAAAGCAUGAUUAAUGUAAUCUCUAGAGUUGUCUAUAAUGCAUAUAAAUAUAGAACUCUGGUUGUAUGAAAAGUAAGAGAGAAACGAAAAAAUGAAUUAAGCAAUAAAGUUUCAGAAAUUUCCAGCAAAAUACUCUGUUCUUAAAUAAAAAUUUUUCUGCACUUCCGCUUGCACCCAACAAAUUUGGUAUCAGAGCUAUUCCAAAACACCCUCAAAAUGACAUCAAACUUCUCCCUGUUUUGAGCUGGAAUAAGAGCAGAAAGCUGUGGGAAAAGGCACUAUUGCUGUCCAUACAAAGGAAGGUACUGAUUUCCUUAUUGUUUGCCUUUAUGUUGAUGCUGCAACAACAAUUUAUUGUGACAACAUGUCAGCCAUUGCUCUAACAAAGAACCCCGUAUUUCAUGCUAAAUCUAAGCACAUUGAGCUGCGUUAUCACUACAUCCGUGACUUAGUAAACAAAGGAGAAGUUAAUAUGGAGUUUAUCAGCACUAAUGAGCAGCCAUCAGAUUUUCUGACCAAAGCAAUCAACAUUGAGAAGUUUGAAAAAUUCAAGAAGCAAUUGAAGAUUACUAAUUAAGAGGGGGUGUUGAGAUAUAAUUAAUAAUCUAGUAAAUUGAGCAAGAAGUUUGAAGGGUUAUUUGGUUUGUUUUUCAACAUGAAGUAAAGGGUAGAAUUGAUGUUUGCAAUGUAGCUUUGGAAAUGUAAAGCAUGAUUAAUGUAAUCUCUAGAGUUGUCUAUAAUGCAUAUAAAUAUAGAACUCUGGUUGUAUGAAAAGUAAGAGAGAAACGAAAAAAUGAAUUAAGCAAUAAAGUUUCAGAAAUUUCCAGCAAAAUACUCUGUUCUUAAAUAAAAAUUUUUCUGCACUUCCGCUUGCACCCAACAUUAUUUUGGUUAUUUUUUAGCAAUAUAAAAAUUUUUUAGCAAGUAAAAAUUAAUUUUUUUCCAAUUUACUAAAAAAUUAACUAAAAACUUCUGCGAUAGCAUUUUUUAUGGGUGCAUAUACCUCCCUUUAAAAAAUAUAUAAUAAUUAAUGCUUAAUAUAGUAUUAAAUACGAAAAUAUCAAUAUUUGACUACUCAAAUUUAUAUCAUUAGGUCCUUAAAAUUUAAAAUUGAAGAUACAAAAGGAAAUAUAUAUAAAUUUCAUUCUCAUGGGAAAGGAUCAUCUUAUAAUCUUAUAAUAUUUGAGUUUUGAAAUAUUUUUUUGAAACAAAUGUACUUUUAUUUGUGUACAAUCAAUAUGUACUUAUUUAUUAUAUUUUUAUUUAUUAACUAUCAAUCAUGUGAGUAUAUUUAGUCAGAAAAAUUAUAUCAAGAGAGAACCCUAAUUUCACGUAAAGACAAAUACAAGACAAAUAUGGCAAUUUCUAUACUAUUCACUUUCCUGUAGAAUCAAUUAUCUAAAAUGCAAGUUUGUGGCUUCAAAAAACUCGCCAAAGAAAGAAGAUAAUUACAAUUGAGCAUUGAUAGCAAAUCUAAUGCAUCCAAUUCUUCUUAACUUGAUGAGUGACGUGAAUACUAGCAGUCUGUAACGCCCAAAUUUUUAUUAUUUUAUUUAUUUUUUAAUGGAAUUUAUAAAUGACAUUUUUGCCCUUAUAAAAACGGUUAUUCAUGGAAUAAUUUUUAGGAAAGGGUUAUUUUUCCAAAUUCAAUAGGGUUUCUUAAGACUCCCUAUAAAUUCAUAUUUUUCUCCUUCCAUAACCCUAAAAGCACGACGUUUCUUCUUCUUCUAUGCUGCUCAUUACGCUCUUACCCAAACCCUAGGAUUCAAACCUUUGGUUAAGAGAGAAUCAAAGCGAUUGGUAAGUUUAUUCCCCUUAUUCUCCACAAGAUUCCCAAUCACUCUAUCUAGGGUUUAUAUUGGCACGAUUUUAGAUUGUUAUAGAUCAUAAUGCAUGAUUUAGAAUGUGUUUAGGCUUUGUUUAGAGUUUUGAUUUAUUAUGAGUUUAGUUAAUCAACCUUGACGUAUUAAGCACAUAGAAUAGUUCCAUAGAAUAUUAUGUUAUUCUGAGUUUUAGAUUAAGAGUUAAAAUUCUGAGCAUCGGACCUGUACGGGUACGAAUUAAAAAAACCAGGUUCUUAGAAUAAGUUAUUAAUUGUCAUAUAUUGUAUUUGUUUAAGGCGUUGGAGGUGAUUGAGGCUCUUAGAGGGUUAGAGGUGUGUUAAUUCAAAUUCUUUUGUCAAGUUAAGUAACUUUAUUCCUAAUGUACUGGAUAUAUAUAUAUGAUUAUUUUGAUAUUAUUAUAAGUAUACGAAUUUUUUUACUACUUAGAAGAUUAAUGGAUUUUCAUAACAAAAUCAGUUUGUGUAAAUGUUUUCAAACCUAAAUUCUUUUUAAUAAAUUAUUUUGUAAAGGCUUUUAAAUAUGUAAGUUAUUUUAUGACAUGACUACCUUUUAUAAUUUUGUCUAUGAAAUAUUUGCAAGCCUAAAUUGUGGUUAUGGACUUUCAUGAAACUGAUACAAAUGUUUUGUACCUAUGUAUGAUUUCAAUUAUUUAUGAUUGUACGGGGGCCACCUCUUGGGACUAUAUGGGGGCCACCUCUUGAAAGCCAAAGCAUCGCAAAGUGCCACAUAUAAGUCAUUAUGUUUUGGCUCAUUGUCCAUAGUUAUUCUGAUUCUGAUUCUGAUCGUAUAAUACGAUAUAUGUCUGUUCUGGACCAGUACUGGGUUUUUGUUUUGAGUGUGCACACGAUAUUCUGAUUCUGUUUUUGGCCGAGUCACCAGGACUAUAGGUGACACUAUGUGACAUGAGCUAACCUUUUGUUUUAUGUGAAUGUGAUAUAUGAUUUGCUUUUGUAAGUAACUAUACUUUUGAUAUUCUGAGUUACAAUGAAUUUAAAUUAUUUUAUAGUGAUAUAUCGUUUUAUGAAAUUUAUGGAUUAUGAUAUAUGUUUUAAUUAAAAGAAGGCUUGCAAUAUUUUUGGUAUCGAUAGGCCUAGUGUGUUAGGAAUAGUUUUACUUACCGAGUUGACGGCUCACCCCUCGUCAUUACUUUUUGCAGAUUAAAUUUCUUUUGAGAGGUGCCCUUAGCUUUGGAGUUAGUAAUUUUCUGUUUCCGUUUGCCAUUUGAAUAAGAUGAGGAAUAGACUCAUGUUUCUAUUUAGUUUAUUUCUGUUAUGGACGUGUAAUUUGGAGUUUGAGACUUUUGUUAUUUUUUUUAUGUCCUCGGGAGAGAUUAUUUAGUAUUAGACGUUUGAAUUUGUGGAUUUAUUCGAAUAAGAAUUUGAGGUAUUUCAGUUUGAAACUUAUGAGUAAAGAUUAUGAUUUGUAAGUAACCUCCUUCUUCACGUGCUCCGCACGUGUUAGAUUUGGGGUGUUACAAUUGUGGUAUCAGAGCAUUAGGUUUGGGAUUCUGUAGACUUUAUUUGAGACUAGAUUUCUUAAGCACAAUCAAUUAGUUCAAUGGUAUUGCUUGCCAUGAGGUUAUCAGAAAGAGUAGAUCUUUAAGGCGAGGAGUAAUUUUGGUCUUUUUGAUUUUCUAGUUGCUUGUGACUUUGUAAUAACUCCUUGAUAUAGGAUUUUGGUAUUAACGUAGAAUGAAAUAUUUGUUUGCUCUUGUUGUCAAUCACUAAUGUUUCUCAGUUAUACUACUUACUCAGUACUUUGCGCACUAGCAAGGCCUUUAACUAUGAAUUAUUUACCGUUUUAUUUAUUUAUUUAUUUUUAUUCUUCGUGUUAUAGUCAAAAGAUGUUGCGUAGGGGAGGUGCUAGGCAUGCCUCUAGCUCGAGAGAUGUUUUAGGAAUCGCUGAUGACGUUGACCCAACCUUGCGUGAGAUGGCUAACGAAGGGAAUCCUAUGAUGCGCGCAAUGGUUAGAUUGAUGGAACAACAAAGUAAGUUGAUUCAAGAUAUGGCUAGAGGUAAAGUUGGGGCACAGGAGAAUGUGCCAGUUGAAAGACAAGGUGGUGGAAGAGAUCAGGGAGGUAUGAUGAGCUUAGAGCGGUUUAGGAAAUUGGGACCACCUACCUUUCAGGGGACUGCCGAUCCUAUGGUUGCAGAGGCAUGGUUAAGACAGAUGGAGAAAAUAUUUAUGGCUAUGGGUUGUAAUGAUGAUCAUAGGGUGAUAUUGGCCUCAUUCGUCCUUUAGGGCGAGGCAGACCACUGGUGGGAUGCCAAAUCCCGUCUUUUGAGGGCCGGGUUACAAGAUGCACCUAUUACUUGGGAGUUAUUUCUGGAGGCUUUUCAUGAAAAAUAUUUUCCUGAACGAGUUCGACAUCAGAUGGAGGUUGACUUCCUGAAAUUGACUCAAGGAACAAAGUUUGUUGCGGAGUAUGAGGAGCAAUUUACUGCUCUAUCUCAUUUUUCUCCUACCUUAGUUGCUAAUGAGGGUAGUAAGUGUAGGAAAUUCUUGGAAGGGUUACAUCCAAACAUCAAAAGACGGUUGACCAUCCUUAAGCUUAAUAAUUAUGCCGAUUUGGUGGAUCGUGCGAUUAUUGCAGAGAGGGAUAUAAUUCAAUCUCAAGUUGCACGAUCUAAUCGACAUAAUAACCAGCCAAUAAAACAUGAUAGUAAUGGUAGCGAAGGUGAACAUAAGGACUCUAAUGGUGGGUCUAUUCAAGAGAACAAACCAUUCUGUAAUCGUUGUGACAAGUACCAUAAUGGCACGUGCUAUUUAAAGAUAGAAGCUUGUUUUGGCUGUGGAAAGAUGGGGCAUAAGGUUAUAGAUUGCCCAAAAAAGCGCAGUGGUAACAUAGAUUCUGCCGAGAACCAAAGGAAAAAGCCAUGUGUCUUCGCCAUGGUGGAGCAAGAUAUUAAGAAACCGAAUAACGAAGCCUCAGGUGCAUUACCUAUUUUCCAUAGAAAGCCUUGAAUUUUUGAGUAAUUGGUAUUGUGCUUUUCCUCCAUCCUUUCUGAUUGGAUGCAUCGUAGCUAGAGUUUUUAGCCUAAUAAUUUCUUUUUUCAUCCAUUGAAUUUCUAUGGUACAUUAGUAGGAUAUGACGUGUGAUUUUAUAAGGCCAUUAGGAUUAACUUAUGGUUGGAUGGAGUAGGGACUAAUAUGAUAUUUAGUAGGAUAUGUGAUGAAGAUUGCAAUAAAAGUGUUUCACCAGCAAUGUGCGAGCGCAUUGAACAGUUUUGAAGUUGAAUGUGAAGUGAUAAAAAAUAUUCGCCAUCGAAACCUUAUCAAUGUUAUUGGCAGUUGUUCGAACGAUGACUUCAAAUCAUUAGUCCUAGAAUACAUGUCCAACGGGAGCUUGGAGGAUUGGCUGCAUUCUAGCAAUUAUGUGCUUAAUAUUUUUCGCAGGUUGAACAUAAUGAUUGACGUUGCAUCAGCUUUAAAAUAUCUCCACUUCGAUCAUUCAACUCGUAUCAUUCAUUGUGACUUAAAGCCUAAUAAUGUGUUGUUGGGUGAAAAUAUGGUUGCUCAUUUGAGUGAUUUUGGCAUAGCAAAGCUUUUAAGUGGAAGAUGAGUCUACGAUGCGAACAAAAACCCUUGCCACUAUAGGUUAUACGGCACCAGGUUUGCUUGAAACAACUUUUUUUUUUAGUUUAUUUUAAAAUUUCCAAAUUAUUGAUUUUUACGAUCCUCAUAUCAAAAUGUUAUUGAUUAUUUAUCUAAUUAUGAAAUAAUUUAAUUCAUAGAGUAUGGCAUAGAAGGAGAAAUAUCUGCAAAAAGUGAUGUUUACAGCUAUGGGAUUAUGUUGAUGGAAACUUUUACCAAGAAAAAACCCACAGAUGAGAUUUUUGUUGGAGAAUUGAGCUUAAAGCGUUGGGUUAAUGACUUGCUUCCUAAUUCAUUAGUGGAAGUUGUGGACAAAAUUCUGAUAAUUGGAGAGGAAAAACAUUUUGCCGCAAAGGAGCAAUGUCUGUUCUCUAUCUUUAUUUUGGCUCUGGAGUGUACAAUGGAAUCACCGGAAAAGAGGAUCAAUACAAAAGAUAUUGUUACCAGAUUACUCAAGAUAAGAGACACAUUGAGUAAAAGGAUAGGAAAUUUAAGUUAAUUUUGUUUGCUUUCAUUGAUAGUUACUUUGAAUUCAUGUAAUAAGUGUAAGAAUCGUUUAUCUUUUCUUUUGAUAUUUUUUUCUUGAGAAAACUGUUGUAGUCAUCUUUUUUCAAUGGGCAGAGUUGAUUUAGUUCUUCCAAGAAAUGCUAUUGUUGAUCUUUGUUAUAUACUUUUGUCUUUUUUUGCAUGCAUUUAGGUAGAAUAGUGGUCUAGCUGCAGGCUAACAAGUCAAGCUACGCUAAAAGGGUAUGAUUUAAUUUAUUAAACCUAACUUCAAGUUCAAGAAUUGUAUCUCAUUGCCACCAAUGCUUUAGACACCUAUUGGUAGGUUUGUGUCCUCAACUUUGUUUAGAGCAAAAGUUCCAGUCCCAUGGAGGCUCAAAUAUUCCUCUCCUACGUCCCGAACACACUAAAUUCAUCAGCCUCUUGAACCCUCUCCUGAGGGCGCCUUCUGUCCUCUGUUUUCUGUUUCCAUACACAAAUAGCAAAAAGAAUUCAGAAUGACAACUGGGACAUAUAUAAGAGUGAAAUAAUUAAAAAAAAUUAUGCUUUUUUGUUUGUCGUGUUAAAAUCGUAAGGUAUCUAAGUACUAUGAAAGAGAUUAGUUUACGAAAACUGAAGCCAAGGGUUCAUAAAAAAGUGCAAAGAGAAUAAAGGACAACGCUUAUGUAAAGCGACAUAAUUGUAUUGGUAGCACAAUGUCACGUUCAUACAGAGAUCAAGUACAUUAUUUACAGCUGGUAAGGGCUAAGAAUUGAUGUAGCUAGAAUACAAAUAUGAUAAGGUAUGUUGUGCACUAUUGUUUUAUUCUACAAUCAAUCUUGACCCUUGAUGCUUGGCUCUCAAUCUUGUCCAUUGAUCUUCUCUGAUCUCGAAAACUUCAAGACCUUUCAAUCUCAUGCCUUAUUAUUGGUAUGUUCUAUGCUGUUAAUUUCAAAUACUAGCUUUUCCGCCAACUUGCCAAUUAUUUGUUCAUUGGUGCGUUCUGUCAAACAGUGUGGAUACUUAUACCAAACGCUUUCUGUUUUAACUCCCCCUUUCAAGCUCAACUAUCUGGGAAGACACUAAUAAGCUUGUUUCUCAAGUAUAUGUAUCUGAAAAUUAAAUUUUCAAAAUUAUAUUCGGACUCUACAUUUUCUAAUGAACAUUGGUUUGGCUCAUAAGCUUAUUAUACUUGGGCUUGGUAGGAUUAUCGGUCGGUAGAUGAACAAGUGUUAGAGCUUUCGAAUUUAUGCCAAUUAAAAAAAAAUCUAUAUAAAUUUUCCACUAGGCUAUUACCACAAUAAACAUUUGGAUGAACUAUUAUUGAAACCUUAUUGAGAAGUAGGACAUGUCGCAUACCAAUGCACUGACAUAUCUUCAAAUAGUGGUAACUCCACACAACAUGGCACAAUAAAUUAGAGUUAUAUAGAUAAAAUCUUUCACUCUUUGGUAAUCAUCAAUGUCGGCAUGGCAAUGCGUCCGACAAAAUUCAUAAAUCAAAACAAAAAUAGAGAAUCAUAUUUGUUUCAGAUUGUAGUGAUGGUUGUUCAUAAUUCACAAUUUUAUUUAAUAUCUUCAAAUUCGCAUUUUAAAAUGCACAAAUGUUUGUGUAUACAUAAUUAGUAAUCGAUUCUCAAGCUUGGACAUUUAAAAGCACUGCUAAAAGACAAAAUUUUAAUUCACUAUUUUUUGUCUUUUAAUUUUCUUUAAGUUUUAAUGAUUCCGCAUUUUAAAAUCCUGUGGAACGUACAUGUAAAAUUCUUUUAUCUUUUAGAGGAAAAUGGGCAAGAGAAGAAGAUUUGGCAAAGGAAUUGCAACCGCAUUUGGAGCUAGUUUUAAUUUUGUCUUUUAAUUCUUUUACACUUGGCUUUUGUUAUUGAUGUCAACUUCGAUGUGUGUGCGUGUGCGACUGAAUUCAACUUACAUGCUAUUGAUGCAGCCACCAAAAAGGGGUGGUCCAUCAUCAAUCAACAAGGUUUAUUAUUAUUUCCAUAUUGAUUUUCUUAAUUAUAAAUAAUACUAAUGUUAUUUCAUAGUUAUAAAUAUAUUAGAAUUAAUCGAAAUCAUUUUUUAGUGUGGCAUGGCUAAAACUACCUUUUUUUUUUAUAAGUAAUUACUACUUUCACAUUAAGAAAAAUACUCCUAUUUUUAAGGAAAAGUCAAGUACCUGUAGUUGUGAAGACUCAAGCUCACUCCCUUAUGAUAAAUCUUCAUAUUAAUUACGUAAAUAUCCUCUAAAAUUUUAAAUUAGCUAUUCAAAAUUUGAUGUUAUACGGGUAUUUCAUUUAUUUGAGUAGGGGUUAGGGGUCAAUUGGAUACAAAUUCAAAAUUAUCCUUACUUGAGAAGGUGAUAAAAAUUGGGGAUUUAGUUUGGAUGUCAUUAGCUACAAAUAUUAAACUCAUACAUUUAAUUCAAAAUUAGAGGGCUGAUAUGUGCGCAUCAUCGUCCACGUUAUAGUGACACUGCGUCACCAUUCCACAACCUCUCCAAUGAAAAAUUGACAUGCUUCUUGUGCGCAUCUAAUCAGAAUCUUGAAAAUUAAUCACAAAAUUGUACUUUUAUUAUAAAAAGAAUAAAGAAACUCCAAGAAAAAAAAAAAGACUUACAUAAAUAGAUUGAAAAAUCUAGAUUUCAAGUUGUCUAUAUUAGCUUGAUAUUUUUAUUAAUAGUCAUCCUCCCAAAAAAAUUCCAUCAAAAUAUAUUUUAAUUUUAUGUUAAUUCAUAAACAUGAAAAAAUCAUUUUAGAAUUAAUUAAAACAUAAUUUAUUGUUGCUCAAAAAAGGUAGAACUUAGUUAUCAGAAAAAAGUGUCUAAAAUAUAUGUUAAAAAAAAAUCAUGGUUGGUUGGACUGAUUGAAUUUUUUUUUUCUUUUUUAAGAAUUAAGACAAUUGGAUGGAUUGAGUAAUAAUAAUACAUAUUUAUUUGGCAAAUGGCAGGGAGGCUUUCGUCUGAUGCAGAUUGAUUAGAGAGAAAAUAUAACAAUUUUAAGCUCGUCAGAUUCGAAGCUGCUUACCUGUCGUGUGGGGAUCACUUCCGUGUCUUAUUUUUCUAGAAAAAUCUGGACCAUUGGAUUUACCAUUAGUCAAUAGAGAAAUGUUGAUCUUGAUUCUUGAUCAAGAUCGAAGUUUGAUUCUAACUAACACGAUAUCAGAUUGCGAAGCAAGCAAAUUGAAAGUCACUUGUUCUAUGGAAGAAACACAAGUUCUAAUAAAACAUUCUCAUAGUAAAGUGAAUUACCAUCCAACGAUCCAACUCAUGUUUUCAAAUUGUAAAUUGCAAAUCGUGUGUUUGCUCCAUUACAGAGUUUCUUCAAUCUGAAAUAGCGAAUCAUUUGUGUUCUAGAUUAAUCGUGGGUCUAUAUCCAAAUCUAAAAAUUGACUAACUUGAUUUCUAUUAAAUUCUUAAUCCUAACAAGAAAAAUUGAAGAUUAAAAACGACUAAUUUGGUACCAUACCACUAUUGUAACAUAGGUAGAUCCUCUAUUAAUUGGAGUAAAGAUUGAAUUAUCUCAUUUAUUAAGGUUUAUCAAAAUCUUGUGUCAAAAUCUAUUAAUGAUAUAGGUUCAAGGAUGAAAAAGUCACUGCAUUACUUUUGAGUUCCCAAAUAGAUGAAUGGAUGUUAUUUUUAGAUUCCGGAGAGUCGAAAAUAUUAAGAUAGGUGCUAAAUCGAAUUAAGUUGUAGAUACGAUAGAAAUGGAUUUGGAGAGAUUGGAAUCCUAGGUAAUCCGGUGCACGUUGUCGUGUUAAAUUCUCGUUGACUUCACGUUGACUGAAGCAUUAUUGGAAGAAACAAGUUUAUUGAUGUGAGGCCUUUGAGGUUGUAAGUGUUAAAUCUGAGAAGAAUACCCACACACCCAUUAUCCUAUUACUCUUAUAUCACAUGAAGAGAAUUCAACAUUUGAUUCACACGGAAAAAAUUUGUGAGGAAUGUGAGGGUUGAUGGAAUAUAAUUUAGAUACAAAGUGUUUACCAGUGCGAUGCUUCGCAAGUGUUCUUGAAUCAAUAUAAACUCACAUUAUUUUCAUAGUGAUUGUUUCAUCUGCACGUUAAUAUAAUCACAUGUCGAGAUUUUUUUCCUUAAAUUAUGGUCUUAUUUAGUAUUGAGGUGUUAUAUCUUUUAAGGUACAAUUAUUGUUGGAAAAAAGUUACAACUAUCAAAUAAAAUUAAUACUAUGUGCUAAAUAUAAUUGUUAAAUAAUAAUUUUGACAAAAUUAGUGAAGUUAUAUAGAUUUUUUUCAUCAUCCAAGUAUAAAAUCAAAUCAACUUAACUUCUAAGUUAUAUAUCGGCUACUGUUUAUCAUAUGUUUUAGUUUUGUAACUUUUAAAUUAUAGUUACCCAACCUCAAUUCUAAACAAGACCUAUAAAGAUCAAAGAUUUCCUCAUUAAAUUAUAUGUCUUGUGAUUGCUUAUUUAAUUUAUAUUUUUGUUAUUUAUCUUUAUUAAUUAUAAUCAUCUUUUUAUAAAUUAAAAUUGAAGGAAGUUGAUUGAUGUUGUUGACACACACACGCACGCGCACGCACACACUCACAAAGAUAUAUUGGAAGUGCUUACGUCGACUCGAAGUUGUUGGGAAUUAAUGCAUGUAUUGAUUUAUUGGGAGUGUUUAAAUGAUUUUGUGAUUUACUUGAUUUAUUGAUUGAAUAUUGUUUGAUUGCUUCAUAUCCAUUCUAGAAAGUUUAUUUCUUUGUGAAAGUUCAACGAAAUAUGUUUUUUUUUUUAAAUAAGGGUGUUCUAAAUAAUUUUAAAAAAUAUAUGCUUGUCUUCCCAAAAUAGCCUUUGAAUACACAAGUAAAUGUCUAGCCUUUGGUGAGGAUAGUUUGGUCAUUGCAUUUUACAAGUAAGAUGAGUGGUGGAGAAAAAUGAGGAGUGCACAUAACUCUUCAGCAAAUCCCACCAACAAUUCCAUUUUCUUAAUUAAUUAAUCUCCUUUUUUAUCCCCAAACAAAUCCUAAUGAUACUAUUAUCAGGUUUAAAACAGUACACAAAUAGUGAAAAGCUAACUAGUCUGUAGAGUAAUUUGCUAAUUGCUAUCUCCUCUCUAUGCUCGCUGAAUAAUUUGUUGCAUGCAAACUUUUUAUUUUAUGCAAAUCAUACGUACUGUAACAUUGGAAUUGAUGUAUAAGCAAAAAUACAAUAAUAUUUAUGUCAAUACAAAUAGUUUUUUUUCCCUUUUUAAAUAAACACAACGCGAUGUUGCUCUGCUCUACAUUUUUGCUAUCUCUUUAUUAUUAUUAUUUUUUUUUGGGCUUCUUAAAGCCUCAAACUUUGAUAACCAAAACUUCAUCGACCUAUGAAAAAAUCUGCAGAUUAGUUUUUAUUAUCGGAAUAAUUGUUUGAGAAUACUAAAACAAAAUAUAAAAUAAGAAAAUACGGGGUUAAAUUUGGGGAAAACAAAAAGGCAUGUUGGAUAGAUUACUAUAGUUUAAGGGGAAAAAAAAAUUCAAUUGGAAAUUUUUUUCUUUAAUUUUUGUUUUACUUGAUUGAGAUUUCUCCUUAGUCCUUACAGUUUUAAGUUUGGAUGCCGUAGGGUUAGUAAUUUAGUAUUUCCCUUGCAAGCUGAGCUUAAGGAUGAAAUUUCUUUUAAGAAAUUAAAAAAGAUUAAAAAAAGCAUACCAAUAGGUAAUUAUAAAUAACCAUAAAUAAACAUAAACAAAAUGUUUAUGAAGUAAAUUACACAUGCACAUAUUAUUUUUUUGUUAUAUUUCUUACUUGUCUAUUUUAUUUGCUGCUUGAUAACCCGUAAAUACUAAUCUAGUACUGCUAAUUUCAGACACAAAAUGUUUAACUCUAGGCUGCAGUUUUACUCAAAAUGAUGACCACUGGCUUCGCACCAUUUAACCGGCAUACAUUUCUACAAAUUGAACAAGGCUAUUGAUUUUCAUUAUUAUUUUUUAUUUAUUUAUAAAUUACUAUUUUAAUUUUCACUUUUUAUUGGGUUGUUUACAGAUUAGUGAAGUUGGUGGUCGUGAUGCACUCACAAGGUACAAUUUUAUUUUAUAAUUUCAAAUUUGUAUUUUAAAAUGCAGGUACAUUAUGUAUACAUAAUUAUUGAUUUUCAUAUGUGGGUGUUUUGAAAUAUUGCUAAAAGACCAAACUUUAAUAAACUAUUUUUUAUCUUUUUUUUUCCUAAAGUUUGAGUGAUAUCCGCAUUUUAAAUUCAUGUGGAACAAAAGCUAAUGUAUGCUCAAAAUUCUUUUAUUUUUUCCGAGAAGAAUGGGUAAGAGAAGAAGAUUUUUCUGUUGAAAAAGAAAAACUAAUACGAUGCAAGCAUAGGAAAGAGGUCAGUGUUUUGGAUUAGAAUUUAGUAUUGAGCUGAAUUUUAUACUAAACUCUUUUAUAGUACUGCGAUUAAUAAACUCAUGAUUUGCUUUUGCUUUUACUUCAAGUGAAAGAAAGAGGAAACCGUUUGAUUUUUGUUUGAUUCUUGACUAUAGAUGUUACCUAUAUAGAGAGUUGAGGUAGCUGCCUUAAGUGAUGGUUAUAAAAAGAUUAAGCAGCGCACACAAUCUUACUGUCGUCCAGACCAUCCAGCUAUGAUGACUCUAGUUUUUUGGUUACAUUAACUUUAGUGGAAAGGAGGGCCAAUUUAACAAAGACUAGAUUUGGUGGCUUACUAUAAUGCUUAUUCUCAGGGAAUCUAAUGUUAUAAGAUGAUUUAAUGAUCUUCUAUGAUUGUGAGUAGUAUAGUAUAAUUGAAAAGAGCUUGGGCUCCUAUGAUGAAUAUUUAAUAGUAACACAGUACUGUUAUUGAAAAAAACACAGUUACAAUAAACUCUUCAUUUAUUCAUUGUGGAGAUUGAAUGGCAAACAGAGAAUAAAAUGAAGCAGAGGAAUCUCAUUGCCAGUAAAAUUGACCCUCUUUAAUGUUAUAUGGCACAGGUGUGUGUACAGCAAGAUCAAGUUACUUGCAGUUUUUAUUGUAAAAUAUAUAGGUUAUGACCAUGAUCAUUGUAGUUAGGUUUUGAUGAUUUUAGAUGCUUUUUUUAUUUUUUUUAAAAUUGUGACACCUUUGAUUUAUGGUAGCUUUGCAGAAGAAAAAUAUAUAUAUAUAAAUUAGGAGGGAUGAGUUAACUAACGAUUGCAAUCAUUACAGUAAUGUUGAUGAGUGAUACAUCAUUUGAAAUUUACUUGUCAGUUACUGAAAUGAUGAAAAAAAACAAUAAACAAUAGCAGUAAUAUUUUUAUGGAAAAUCUUGGUUUUUAUGGAAAUACUCUUGCUGAAAUUCUAAUUUUGACUUUCAACUCUUGGUUUUUAUGGAAAGUAAAAUGACUUGUUUGUUAUAUUCAUACAAUCCACUCUACAUAAUGAUUUCAUUUUAAUAAAUGCUUGAUGAUCUCCACUGAAAAACUACUUCAAUUCUUUUGUUUUAUUUAACUUUUUGGUUGUUGAAAAUAGCCUUAAUUUUCAAAUAAUUGGAGAAAGAGUAAAGAACAUUUAACAAAUUUAUGUGCCAAAAAUAAAGGAGAAAUUGAAGAGAAAGGGUGCUUGCAGAAGUGGGUGCAAAGAUAAAUCAGUCCAUAAGAAUUAUUGUGGUUAUUAAGUUUUUGGCAAUAUAAAAAUUUUUCAGCAAAUAAAAAUUGAUUUUUUCCGAUUUACUAAAAAAUUAAUUAAAAACUUCGGUGAUAGCAUUUUUUAUGGGUGCAUGUACCCUCCCUUUAAAAAAAAUAUAAUAAUUAAUACUUAAUAUAGUAUUAAAUACGAAAAUAUCAAUAUUUGACUACACAAAUUUAUAUCAUUAGGUCCUUAAAAUUUAAAAUUGAAGACACAAAAUGAAAUAUAUAUAAAUUUCAUUCUCACAGGAAAGGAUCCUCUUAUAAUCUUAAAAUAUUUGAGCUUUGAAAGAUUUUUUAAAACAAAUGUACUUUUAUUUUUGUACAAUCAAUAUUUACUUAUUUAUUAUAUUUUUAUUCAUUAACUAUCAAUCAUGUGAGUAUAUUUACUCAGAAAUAUCAUAUCAAGGAAGAAUCUUGAUCCCACGCACACACAAAUAUGUUAAUUUCUAUACGCUUCACUUACCUGUAGAAUCAAUUAUCUAAAAUGCAAGUUUGUGGCCACAAAAAAAGCCAAAGAAAGAAGAUAAUAACAAUUGACUUGUAUAUUAUACUCAUACAAUCCACUCGACAUAAUGAUAUCAUUUUAAUAAGGCAAUGGCUGAUGAUCUCCAUUGAAAAACCAAUUCAAUUUUUUUGCUUCAUUUAACUUUUUGGUUGUUGAAAAUAACCUUAAUUAUCAAAUAAUUGGAGAAAGAGUAAAGAACAUUUAACAAAUUUAUGUGCAAAAAAAAAAAAAAAAAAAGGAGAAGUUGAAGGGAAAGGGUGCUUGCAGAAGUGGGUGUCAAAGAAAAAUCUGUCCAUAAGAAUUAUUGCGGUUAUUUUUUGGCAAUAUAAAAUUUUUAUAGCAAGUAAAAAUUAAUUUUUUCCAAUUUACUAAAAAAUUAACUAAAAACUUCUGCGACAACAUUUUUUAUGGGUGCAUAUACCCGCCCUUUAAAAAAAAAAAUAAUUAAUGCUUAAGUUAGUAUUAAAUACGAAAAUAUCAAUAUUUGACUACUCAAAUUUAUAUCAUUAGGUCCUUAAAAUUUAAAAUUGAAGAUACUAAAGGAAAUAUAUAUAAAUUUCAUUCUCAUGGAAAGGAUUCUCUUAUAAUCUUAUAAUAUUUGAGUUUUGAAAUUUUUUUGAAACAAAUGUAAUUUUAUUUGUGUACAAUCAAUAUUUACUUAUUUAUUAUAUUUUAAUUUAUUAACUAUCAAUCAUGUAAGUAUAUUUAGUCAGAAAAAUUAUAUCGAGAGAGAAUCCUAAUUUCACGCAAACACAAAUACAAGACAAAUAUGUUAAUUUCUAUACUAUUCACUUUCCUGUAGAAUCAAUUAUCUAAAAUGCAAGUUUGUGGCUAUAGAAAACUCGCCAAAGAAAGAAGAUAAUAACAAUUGAGCAUUGAUAGCAAAACUAAUGCAUCAUUUUCUUCUUGACUUGAUGAGAUGGUGCCAUUACAAAACAAUAAUUACCUUAAUUGACGGGCACUGAGUGAUGUGAAUACUACCAGCCAGUUCAUCUCUUCCAGUCUUGCUUAAUCACAAUCACAAACACCACGAGAUUGACAUUUGCAUUAUAUAUAUCUUCAGCAAUCGAAACACCUUGCAUUACCAAAUUAACCGGUAACAAACAAAGCAACCUUUCAUGGAGAGAAACUUUAGUCUCAGUAUGAUCACUGUGUCAUUAACCCACUUCCUGCUUCUUUGCUUGGUUGUUGCAGCAGCAGCAGCAGCAGCAAGCAACAAUAUUACCACAGACCAACAAGCUCUUCUUGCCCUGAAAGAUCAUAUAACUUAUGAUCCAACCAAACUUUUUGCCCAUAAUUGGACCUCGAAUACCUCUGUUUGCACCUGGAUUGGCCUCAGUUGUGAUGUCAAUAGCCAUAGAGUCACAGCCUUAGAUAUUUCUCAAUUCAAUAUACAAGGCACCAUCCCUCCUCAACUUGGAAACCUCUCUUCACUCACAACACUUAAUCUUAGUCGUAAUAAGCUUUCUGGAAGCAUUCCCCCCUCCAUCUACACCAUGCAUACGCUAAAAUUUCUAGACUUCACUGAUAACCUGCUCUCUGGUUCAGUGUCUUCCUCCGUCUUCAACAUGUCUUCAAUAUUAGACAUUCGUUUGACCAAUAACAGACUUUCUGGUGAGCUUCCGAAAAAUAUUUGCAACUAUCUUCCUUACUUGAAAGCCCUUUUUCUGGACAAAAACAAGUUGCAUGGCAAAAUUCCUUCAGCUUUAUCAAAUUGCAAACAACUGCAACAAUUGCAUUUGCAGUUCAAUAAUUUAUCCGGUGCAAUACCGAAAGAAAUCGGCAACUUGACUAUGCUCAAAUGGAUAGAUCUCGGCUACAACAAACUCCACGGUAUGUUUCAUAAUGCUAUCUAAAUAUUUUAAUUUAUCACUUGUUUAUUUUAAUUUCUCACUUGUUAUUUUUCUUGAAUACUUUAGAUAAGAUCUAGUAAGUGAGAUUUUUUGCAUCUAUGUUAAUUUACCAGGUGAGAUACCCCCCGAAAUCGCUAAUCUUCGAAAUCUAGAGGCUUUGGUGCUUGGAAUGAACAACCUAGUGGGUGUGUUACCAGCUACAAUCUUCAACAUGUCAACACUGAAGGUAGUUAUCCUCAUUAAUAACUCUCUCUUCGGAAGUCUCCCAUCAAGAAUAGACCUUUCACUUCCAACUAUUGAGCACCUUAACUUGGCACUUAAUAGAUUUUCUGGAACCAUUCCUAGUUCCAUCACCAAUGCUUCUAAGCUCACCUUUCUAGAGUUGGGAGGAAACACAUUUUCGGGCUUUAUUCCGAACACAAUUGGUAAUUUAAGAAACCUUGAGUGGCUCAGCUUGGGUAAUAACUACUUGACAUCUUCAACCUCAAAAUUGAGCUUUCUUUCCUCUUUGGCAAAUUGCAAGAAAUUAAGAGACAUAGGCUUAACAGGCAAUCCACUCGACGGUAUCCUUCCAAGUUCAAUAGGUAAUCUUUCCAUGUCUUUGAAAACACUUUACAUCGGCAAUUGCAGUAUUAGUGGCAACAUUCCUCAAUCAAUUGGCAAUUUAAGCAACUUAUUGGCCUUAGUAUUAGAAGGCAAUAAAUUGACCGGACCAAUCCCAACUACAUUCGGCCAACUGCAGAAACUCCAAGGCUUAUUUCUUACAUUCAAUAAGUUGGUAGGUUCAUUCCCAGAUGAGCUUUUCCAUCUAGCUAGGCUGGAUAAAUUGGUAUUAUUGGGAAAUAAGCUUUCAGGAUCUAUGCCUUCAUGCUUAAGUAACCUCACUUCUCUGAGAUCUCUCUACUUAGGGUCCAAUAGGUUUACUUCUGUUAUUCCCUCAACUUUCUGGAGCCUAAAAGACAUCUUGUUCUUUGACUUUUCAUCAAAUUUCUUGGUUGGUACUCUUUCUUUCGACAUAGGUAAUUUGAAGGUGCUUCUAGGAAUAAGUUUAUCAGAAAAUAACUUAUCGGGUGAUAUGCCAGCCACAAUUGGAGGGAUAAAAAAACCUUCAAAUUAUGGACCUAGCAUAUAAUAGAUUGGAAGGGCAAAUUCCUGAAUCAUUUGGUGACUUGACAAGUUUGGAGGUUUUGAAUUUGUCAAAUAAUAAAAUCUCUGGGUCUAUUCCAAAAUCCAUGGAGAAACUCUUUUACCUCCGAGAGUUAAAUCUCUCUUUCAAUGAACUAGAAGGUGAGAUUCCUAGUGGAGGAAUUUUUGCCAACUUCACAGCUGAGUCAUUUAUGGGAAAUGAGUUAUUGUGUGGUUUACCAAAUCUUCAAGUCCAACCAUGCAAAGUUAGCAAGCCGAGGACAGAACAUAAAUCAAGGAAAAAGAUACUUCUCAUUGUGAUUGUUUUGCCAUUGAGUAUUGCUCUAACAAUAGCAAUCACUCUACCUCUCAAAUCUAAGCUGAUCGAAUGUGGAAAAAGAAGCACAGUGUUGUCAAAUGAUAGUGUCUUGUCAUCACAAGCAACACUAAGAAGAUUUUCAUACUUAGAACUUUUACAAGCAACAGAUAAUUUUGCUGAAAACAACGUAAUUGGCAUAGGAGGUUUUGGUUCUGUUUACGGUGGAAGACUUGAAGAUGGGAUGAAGAUUGCAAUAAAAGUGUUUCACCAGCAAUGUGCAAGCGCAUUGAAGAGUUUUGAGGCUGAAUGUGAAGUGUUAAAAAAUAUUCGCCAUCGAAACCUUAUUAAAGUUAUCAGCAGUUAUUCAAACAAUGACUUCAAAGCAUUAGUUCUAGAAUACAUGUCCAACGGGAGCUUAGGGGACUGGCUGCAUUCUAGCAAUUAUGUGCUGAAUAUAUUUCAGAGGUUGAACAUAAUGAUUGAUGUUGCAUCAGCUUUAGAACAUCUCCACUUCGAUCAUUCGACUCCUAUUAUUCAUUGUGACUUAAAGCCUAGUAAUGUAUUGUUGGACGGAAAUAUGGUUGCUCAUUUGAGUGAUUUUGGCAUAGCAAAGCUUUUAAGUGGAGAGGAUGAGUCUAUGAUGCGAACAAAAACCCUUGCCACUAUAGGUUAUAUGGCACCAGGUUUGCUUCAAACAACUUUUUUUUUUUAGUUCAUUUUAAAUUUUGCAACUUAUUGAUUUUUACGAUCCUCACAUCAAAAUGUUAUUGAUUAUUUAUCUAAUUUUGAAAUUAAUUUGAUUCAUAGAGUACGGCAUAGAAGGAGAAGUAUCUACAAAAAGUGAUGUUUACAGCUAUGGGAUUAUGUUGAUGGAAACUUUUACCAAGAAAAAACCCACAGAUGAAAUUUUUGUUGGAGAAUUGAGCUUGAAGCGUUGGGUUAAUGACUUGCUUCCUACUUCAUUAGUGGAAGUUGUGGACAAAACUCUGCUAAGUGGAGAGGAAAAACAUUCUGCAGCAAAGGAGCAAUGUCUGUUGUCUAUCUUUAGUUUGGCUCUGGAGUGUACAAUGGAAUCACCGGAAAAGAGGAUUAAUGCAAAAGAUAUUGUUACAAGAUUACUCAAGAUAAGAGACACAUUGAGUAAAAGGAUAGGAAAUUUAAGUUAAUUUCGUUUGCUUUCAUUGAUAGUUAAUUCGAAUUCAUGUAAUAAGUCUAAGAAUCUUAUAUCUUCAAAUUCGCAUUUUAAAAUGCACAAAUGUUUGUGUAUACAUAAUUAGUAAUCGAUUCUCAAGCUUUGGACAUUUAAAAGCACUGCUAAAAGACAAAAUUUUAAUUCACUAUUUUUUUGUCUUUUAAUUUUCUUUAAGUUUUAAUGAUUCCGCAUUUUAAAAUCCUGUGGAACGUGCAUGUAAAAUUCUUUUAUCUUUUAGAGGAAAAUGGGCAAGAGAAGAAGAUUUGGCAAAGGAAUUGCAACCGCAUUUGGAGCUAGUUUUAAUUUUGUCUUUUAAUUCUUUUACACUUGGCUUUUGUUAUUGAUGUUAACUUCGAUGUGUGUGCGUGUGCGACUGAAUUCAACUUACAUGCUAUUGAUGCAGCCACCAAAAAGGGGUGGUCCAUCAUCAAUCAACAAGGUUUAUUAUUAUUAAUUUCCAUAUUGAUUUUCUUAAUUAUAAAUAAUACUAAUGCUAUUUCAUAGUUAUAAAUAUAUUAGAAUUAAUCGAAAUCAUUUUUUAGUGUGGCAUGGCUAAAACUACCUUUUUUUUAUUAUAAGUAAUUACUACUUUCACAUUAAGAAAAAUACUCCUAUUUUUAAGGAAAAGUCAAGUACCUGUAGUUGUGAAGACUCGAGCUCACUCCCUUAUGAUAAAUCUUCAUAUUAAUUACGUAAAUAUCCUCUAAAAUUUUAAAUUAGCUAUUCAAAAUUUGAUGUUAUACGGGUAUUUCAUUUAUUUGAGUAGGGGUUAGGGGUCAAUUGGAUACAAAUUCAAAAUUAUCCUUACUUGAGAAGGUGAUAAAAAUUGGGGAUUUAGUUUGGAUGUCAUUAGCUACAAAUAUUAAACUCAUACAUUUAAUUCAAAAUUAGAGGGCUGAUAUAUGCGCAUCAUCGUCCACGUUAUAGUGACACUGCGUCACCAUUCCACAACCUCUCCAAUGAAAAAUUGACAUGCUUCUUGUGCGCAUCUAAUCAGAAUCUUGAAAAUUAAUCACAAAAUUGUACUUUUAUUAUAAAAAGAAUAAAGAAACUCCAAGAAAAAAAAAAGACUUACAUAAAUAGAUUGAAAAAUCUAGAUUUCAAGUUGUCUAUAUUAGCUUGAUAUUUUUAUUAAUAGUCAUCCUCCCAAAAAAAUUCCAUCAAAAUAUAUUUUAAUUUUAUGUUAAUUCAUAAACUUGAAAAAAUCAUUUUAGAAUUAAUUAAAACAUAAUUUAUUGUUGCUCAAAAAAGGUAGAACUUAGUUAUCAGAAAAAAGUGUCUAAAAUAUAUGUUAAAAAAAAAUCAUGGUUGGUUGGACUGAUUGAAUUUUUUUUUCUUUUUUAAGAAUUAAGACAAUUGGAUGGAUUGAGUAAUAAUAAUACAUAUUUAUUUGGCAAAUGGCAGGGAGGCUUUCGUCUGAUGCAGAUUGAUUAGAGAGAAAAUAUAACAAUUUUAAGCUCGUCAGAUUCGAAGCUGCUUACCUGUCGUGUGGGGAUCACUUCCGUGUCUUAUUUUUCUAGAAAAAUCUGGACCAUUGGAUUUACCAUUAGUCAAUAGAGAAAUGUUGAUCUUGAUUCUUGAUCAAGAUCGAAGUUUGAUUCUAACUAACACGAUAUCAGAUUGCGAAGCAAGCAAAUUGAAAGUCACUUGUUCUAUGGAAGAAACACAAGUUCUAAUAAAACAUUCUCAUAGUAAAGUGAAUUACCAUCCAACGAUCCAACUCAUGUUUUCAAAUUGUAAAUUGCAAAUCGUGUGUUUGCUCCAUUACAGAGUUUCUUCAAUCUGAAAUAGCGAAUCAUUUGUGUUCUAGAUUAAUCGUGGGUCUAUAUCCAAAUCUAAAAAUUGACUAACUUGAUUUCUAUUAAAUUCUUAAUCCUAACAAGAAAAAUUGAAGAUUAAAAACGACUAAUUUGGUACCAUACCACUAUUGUAACAUAGGUAGAUCCUCUAUUAAUUGGAGUAAAGAUUGAAUUAUCUCAUUUAUUAAGGUUUAUCAAAAUCUUGUGUCAAAAUCUAUUAAUGAUAUAGGUUCAAGGAUGAAAAAGUCACUGCAUUACUUUUGAGUUCCCAAAUAGAUGAAUGGAUGUUAUUUUUAGAUUCCGGAGAGUCGAAAAUAUUAAGAUAGGUGCUAAAUCGAAUUAAGUUGUAGAUACGAUAGAAAUGGAUUUGGAGAGAUUGGAAUCCUAGGUAAUCCGGUGCACGUUGUCGUGUUAAAUUCUCGUUGACUUCACGUUGACUGAAGCAUUAUUGGAAGAAACAAGUUUAUUGAUGUGAGGCCUUUGAGGUUGUAAGUGUUAAAUAUGAGAAGAAUACCCACACACCCAUUAUCCUAUUACUCUUAUAUCACAUGAAGAGAAUUCAACAUUUGAUUCACACGGAAAAAAUUUGUGAGGAUUGUGAGGGUUGAUGGAAUAUAAUUUAGAUACAAAGUGUUUUACCAGUGCGAUGCUUCGCAAGUGUUCUUGAAUCAAUAUAAACUCACGUUAUUUUCAUAGUGAUUGUUUCAUGUGCACGUGGAUAUAAUCACAUGUCGAGAUUUUUUUCCUUAAAUUAUGGUCUUAUUUAGUAUUAAGGUGUUAUAUCUUUUAAGGUACAAUUAUUGUUGGAAAAAAGUUGCAUCUAUCAAAUAAAAUUAGUACUAUGUGCUAAAUAUAAUUGUUAAAUAAUAAUUUUGACAAAAUUAGUGAAGUUAUAUAGAUUUUUUUUCAUCAUACAAGCAUAAAAUCAAAUCAACUUAACUUCUAAGUUAUAUAUCGGCUACUUAGGGAUGGCAAUGGAUUGGAUCUGACCCAAGAUCCACGUGAUCCAAAUCUAAUCGGAUCGGAUUUGGGUCAGUUUAAAAUGAAUUUGGAUCGGAUUUGGAUAUUGAUGUGCGGAUCUAAGACGGAUCUGGAGCAGGUCUGGAUCUAUCUUAGUAUCUAAAUCCAUAUCCAUAUCCACCCAUCUUUUAAUUUAAUUUUAUUUUAAAAGUUUCUUAACAAUUGUGGAAUUAUAAUGAUAAUGAAUUUUAUUCAUAGCAUAUUAGUGGUAUUUACCAUGCAUUUAAACUCUUUAAAAUUAAAGGUUAGUUUUGUAAAUUUAAAGACUAGCCAGGCCCAAAGCAUGUACAUGCAAUAUUCAAAUUGCAAGCCAAGUAAUACAACCUGGCAAUUUAUUUUAUUAUAUUGGCCAAAUAAUUUUUAAGGAAUAUAGGUAUUCAUAUAUUUUGUCAAAUAUGGUCAUAAUAAAAAUAAUAAAGGACUGAAUAUAAAUCAUAUUUUAUUUAUAUGUCAUUAUCUAAUAUUAUAAGAAUGAGGGUGGGUGUGUUGUAGAUAUUAGAAUGAUGAAUGAGACAAUAGAAUAUUAGAUUGAUCUUACUCCUGCAAUUACUUUUAAAGGAUAUUUUAUUAUCUUAUUUGUUGUUUUGGUGUAAAAGUAUAAGUUACAAUAUUUAUUAUAUUUUUGAGAAAAAUUAUAUAAUUUAUUUGUUAUCAAUACAUUUUAACCUUCAAUUUUCAUUCUAAAAAAUUAUUACUUUUUAAUUGAUGAGUUUUAGAAUUCAUGACAGAUCUAGAGCAGAUUUGGAUUUUAAUUUUUUUUUUCAGAUUUGGAGCAGAUAUAAAUAUUUAUUUCUUUUAUGGAUAUGGAUAUGGAGCGAAAAAUAUAGAUUCAUGAUGGAUCUGGAGCAGAUACGGAUCUUGAUUUUUAUUAUGGAUUUGGAUCUGGAGCAGAGUAGAUCCAACCCAUAUCUGCCCCAUUGCCAUCCCUACGGCUACUGUUAAUCAUAUGUUUUAGUUCUGUAACUUUUAAGUUAUAGUUACCCAAUCUCAAUUCUAAACCAGACCUAUAAAGAUCAAAGAUUUCCUCAUUAAAUUAUAUGUCUUGUGAUUGCUUAUUUAAUUUAUAUUUUUUUUUAUUUAUCUUUAUUAAUUAUAAUCAUCUUUUUAUAAAUUAAAAUUGAAGGAAGUUGAUUGAUGUUGUUGACACACGCACACACGCACACACUCACAAAGAUAUAUUGGAAGUGCUUACGUCGACUCGAAGUUGUUGGGAAUUAAUGCAUGUAUUGAUUUAUUGGGAGUGUUUAAAUGAUUUUUUGAUUUACUUGAUUUAUUGAUUGAAUAUUGUUUGAUUGCUUCAUAUCCAUUCUAGAAAGUUUAUUUCUUUGUGAAAUUUCAACGAAAUAUGUUUUUUUUUUUAAAUAAGGGUGUUCUAAAUAAUUUAAAAAUAUAUAUGGACUAAUUAGAAUUAAUUAUUAGGUAAUUAACUCAAUCUGUAUAGGGUGAAACAACAUUUAUCCUAAUUAUAUCAUGAUAAAUACUUUUCCUAUUAGAAUUAGGAAAUCAUAGGUUUAUUGAAUUGUUUUUUUUUUUCCUUUGCGGAAACGGAUUAGAGAAUUAGAAAACAAUCAUGUUGAUGUCAAAAUCUGAUCUAGUCGGUUAGCGACUUAAUAUCAUAUUACUGCACCAACAUUAAAUUUAUUGGGUGGAGAAUCGACUGGUCAAUUGUCAAGAUGUCCUGCAAUCACUAGCGAUUAACCUACGAAUACCUAAAAUCACAGAAGACGGUAAGAGGCACCGGAAGUUUUUUCGGCGUGAACCUUCCGACGCUCAAGUCAGUUUAUAGGUUUACCAUAAUAAAAAUAAAUAAUUUCUAUUUAAAAAAAAAUAGAGUUCAAAAGCUCAAAAAUAAAACCCAAUCCCAAUAUGAAAAUGAAUUUUUUUUUUUUUUUUUCUAGCUUGGCCGAAUCCUUCUGCCUCCUAAAGAAACAUAACAGAGAAGCAGGUAGCCAUGUUCCCUAGGUAACGCCCCACUCCCCUCUUUUAUUCCUCCCCCUCUCUUCCGUUUCCUUCUUUUGCUCACUAUCCUUCAUAAUUUUUUAUGCUUGUCUUCCCAAAAUAGCCUUUUAAUACACAAGUAAAUGUCUAGGCUUUGGUGAGGAUAGUUUGGUCAUUGCAUUUUACAAGUAAGAUGAGUGGUGGAGAAAAAUGAGGAGUGCACAUAUAACGCUUCAGCAAAUCCCACCAGCAAUUCCAUUUUCUUAAUUAAUUAAUCUCUUCAGCAAAUCCCACCAACUCUUCAGCAAAUCCUAAUGAUAUUAUUAUCAGGUUUAAAACAGUACACAAAUAGUGAAAAGCUAACUAGUCUGUAGAGUAAUUUGCUAAUUGCUAUCUCCUCUCUCCGCGCGCUGAAUAAUUUGUUGCAUGCAAACUUUUUAUUUUAUGCAAAUCGUACGUACUGUAACAUUGGAAUUGAUGUAAAAGCAAAAAUACAAGAAUAUUUAUGUCAAUAAAAAUAGUUUUUUUGGCCUUUUUAAAUAAACACAACGCGAUAUUGCUCUGCUCUACAUUUUUGCUAUCUCUUUAUUCUUCUUUUUUUUUUUGGGCUUCUUAAAGCCUCAAACUUUGAUAACCAAAACUUCAUCGACCUAUGAAAAAAUCUGCAGAUUAGUUUUUAUUAUCGGAAUAAUCAUUUGAGAAUACUAAAACAAAAUAUAAAUAAGAAAAUAGGAGGUUAAAUUAGAGGGGGGAAAAAAGGUAUGUUGGAUAGAUUACUAUAGUUUAAGAAAAAAAAAUCCAAUUGGGAAUUUUUUUCUUUAAUUUUUGUUUUACUUGAUUGAGAUUUCUCCUUGGUCCUUACAGUUUUAAGUUUGGAUGCCGUAGGGUUAGUAAUUUAGUACUUCCUUUGCAAGCUGAGUGCAAGAAUGAAAAUCUUUAAAGAAAUAAAAAAAAAAAAAAAAAGCAUACCAAUAGGUAAUUAUAAAUAACCAUACAUAAACAUAAACAAAAUGAGGUAAUUAUUAAUAUUAUUUUUUGUUUUAUUUCUUACUUGUCUAUUUUAUUUGCUGCUUGAUAACCCGUAAAUACUAAUCUAGUACUGCUAAUUUCAGACACAAAAUUUUUAACUCUAGGCUGCAGUUUUACUCAAAAUGAUGACCACUGGCUUCGCACCAUUUAACCGGCAUACAUUUCUACAAAUUGAACAAGGCUAUUGAUUUUCAUUAUUAUUUUUUAUUUUUUUAUAAAUUACUAUUUUAAUUUUCACUUUUCAUUGGGUUGUUUAACGGAUUAGUGAAGUUGGUGGUCGUGAUGCACUCACAAGGUACAAUUUUAUUUUAUAAUUUCAAAUUUGUAUUUUAAAAUGCAGGUACAUUAUGUAUACAUAAUUAUUGAUUUUCGUAUGUGGGUGUUUUGAAAUAUUGCUAAAAGACCAAACUUUAAUAAACUAUUUUUCAUCUUUUUUUUUUCCUAAAGUUUAAGUGAUAUCCGCAUUUUAAAUUCAUGUGGAACAAAAGCUAAUGUAUGCACAAAAUCCUUUUAUUUUUUCCGAGAAAAAUGGUUAAGAGAAGAAGAUUUUUCUCUUGAAAAAGAAAAACUAAUACGAUGCAAGCAUAGGAAAGAGGUCAGUGUUUUGGAUUAGAAUUUAGUAUUGAGCUGAAUUUUAUACUAAACUCUUUUAUAGUACUGCGAUUAAUAAACUCAUGAUUUGCUUUUGCUUUUACCUCAAGUGAAAGAAAGAGGAAACCUUUUGUUUUUUGUUUGAUUCUUGACUAUAGGUGUUACCUAUAUAGAGAGUUGAGGUAGCUGCCUUAAGUGAUGGUGAUAAAAAGAUUAAGCAGCGCACACAAUCUUACUGUCGUCCAGACCAUCCAGCUGUGAUGACUCUUGUUUUUUGGUUACAUUAGCUUUAGUGGAACGGAGGGCCAAUUUAACAAAGACUAGAUUUGGUGGCUUACUAUAAUGCUUAUUCUCAGGGAAUCUAAUGUUAUAAGAUGAUUUAAUGAUCUUCUAUGAUUGUGAGUAGUAUAGUAUAAUUGAAAAGAGCUUGGGCUCCUAUGAUGAAUAUUUAAUAGUAACACAGUACUGUUAUUGAAAAAAACACAGUUACAAUAAACUCUUCAUUUAUUCAUUGUGGAGAUUGAAUGGCAAACAGAGAAUAAAAUGAAGCAGAGGAAUCUCAUUGCCAGUAAAAUUGACCCUCUUUAAUGUUAUAUGGCACAGGUGUGUGUACAGCAAGAUCAAGUUACUUGCAGUUUUUAUUGUAAAAUAUAUAGGUUAUGACCAUGAUCAUUGUAGUUAGGUUUUGAUGAUUUUAGAUGCUUUUUUUAUUUUUUUUAAAAUUGUGACACCUUUGAUUUAUGGUAGUUUUGCAGAAGAAAAAAAUAUAUAUAAAAAUUAGGAGGGAUGAGUUAACUAACGAUUGCAAUCAUUACAGUAAUGUUGAUGAGUGAUACAUCAUUUGAAAUUUACUUGUCAGUUGCUGAAAUGAUGAAAAAAAACAGUAAACAAUAGCAGUAAUAUUUUUUGGCAAUAUAAAAAAUUAUUGCGGUUAUUUUUUGGCAAUAUAAAAAAAUUUUAGCAAAUAAAAAUUAAUUUUUUUCCGAUUAACUAAAAAAUUAAUUAAAAACUUCUGCGAUGGCAUUUUUUAUGGGUGCAUAUACCCUCCCUUUAAAAGAAAAAAUAAUAAUUAAUACUUAAUAUAGUAUUAAAUACGAAAAUAUCAAUAUUUGACUACACAAAUUUAAUAGUCUUGUGUAAUUAGUGAGUGAGAGAUUGGGUGUAUUGGAGUUUUGGGUAGUGAGCCAAAAUAUUACAAUACUUGUAAUCUUUAUUUCACUAGUGAAAUAUUUUCCUUCUGUUUUUGCCCGUGGACGUAGGCUAAAAGCCGAACCACGUAAUUUCUGGUGUCCUCUAUUGUACUUGUUCUUUAUUUGCUUCCAAUUUUAUUUUAACUGCGCGUCUGCUUCACCCAUCAAUUUCCUAACAAAUCUUGAUCCCAUGCACACGCAAAUAUGUUAAUUUCUAUACGCUUCACUUACCUGUAGAAUCAAUUAUCUAAAAUGCAAGUUUGUGGCCACAAAAAAAGCCAAAGAAAGAAGAUAAUAACAAUUGACUUGUAUAUUAUACUCAUACAAUCCACUCGACAUAAUGAUAUCAUUUUAAUAAGGCAAUGGCUGAUGAUCUCCAUUGAAAAACUAAUUCAAUUUUUUUGCUUCAUUUAACUUUUUGGUUGUUGAAAAUAACCUUAAUUAUCAAAUAAUUGGAGAAAGAGUAAAGAACAUUUAACAAAUUUAUGUGCAAAAAAAAAAAAAAAGAAGUUGAAGAGAAAGGGUGCUUGCAGAAGUGGGUGUCAAAGAAACAUCGGUCCAUAAGAAUUAUUGCGGUUAUUUUUUGGCAAUAUAAAAUAUUUAUAGCAAGUAAAAAUUAAAUUUUUUCCGAUUUACUAAAAAAUUAACUAAAAACUUCUGCCACAACAUUUUUUAUGGGUACAUAUACCCUCCCUUUAAAAAAAAAAUAAUAAUUAAUGCUUAAUAUAGUAUUAAAUACCAAAAUAUCAAUAUUUGGCUACUCAAAUUUAUAUCAUUAGGUCCUUAAAAUUAAAAAUUGAUGAUACAAAAGGAAAUAUAUAUAAAUUUCAUUCUCAUGGAAAGGAUUCUCUUAUAAUCUUAUAAUAUUUGAGUUUUGAAAUUUUUUGAAGCAAAUGUAAUUUUAUUUGUGUACAAUCAAUAUUUACUUAUUUAUUAUAUUUUAAUUUGUUAACUAUCAAUCAUUUAAGUAUAUUUAGUCAGAAAAAUUAUAUCAAGAGAGAAUCCUAAUUUCACGCAAACACAAAUACAAGAUAAAUAUGUCAAUUUCUAUACUAUCCACUUUCCUGUAGAAUCAAUUAUCUAAAAUGCAAGUUUGUGGCUACCGAAAACUCGCCAAAGAAAGAAGAUAAUAACAAUUGAGCAUUGAUAGCAAAACUAAUGCAUCAUUUUCUUCUUGACUUGAUGAGAUGGUGCCAUUACAAAAAAAAAAGUACCUUAAUUGACGGGCACUGAGUGAUGUGAAUACUACCAGCCAGUUCAUCUCUUCCAGUCUUGCUUAAUCACAAUCACAAACACCACGAGAUUGACAUUUGCAUUAUAUAUAUCUUCAGCAAUCGAAACACCUUGCAUUACCAAAUUAACCGGUAACAAACAAAGCAAUCUUUCAUGGAGAGAAACUUUAGUCUCAGUAUGAUCACUUUGUCAUUAACCCACUACCUGCUUCUUUGCUUGGUUGUUGCAGCAGCAGCAGCCGCAAGCAACAAUAUUACCACAGACCAACAAGCUCUUCUUGCCCUGAAAGAUCAUAUAACUUAUGAUCCAACCAACCUUUUUGCCCAUAAUUGGACCUCGAAUACCUCUGUUUGUACCUGGAUUGGCAUCACUUGUGAUGUCAAUAGCCAUAGAGUCACAGCCUUAGAUAUUUCUCAAUUCAAUCUACAAGGCACCAUCCCUCCUCAACUUGGAAACCUUUCUUCACUUACAACGCUUAAUCUUAGUCAUAACAAGCUUUCUGGAGACGUUCCAUCCUCCAUCUACACCAUGCAUUCGCUAAAAUUUCUUGACUUCACUGAUAACCAGCUCUCUGGUUCAGUGUCUUCCUUCGUCUUCAACAUGUCUUCAAUAUUAGAAAUUCUUUUGACCAAUAACAGAUUUUCUGGUGAGCUUCCGAAAAAUAUUUGCAACUAUCUUCCUUAUUUGAAAGCCCUUUUCUUAAACAAAAACAUGUUUCAUGGCAAAAUUCCUUCUGCUUUAUCAAAGUGCAAACAACUGCAAAAAUUAAAUUUGCAGUUCAAUAAUUUAUCCGGUGCAAUACCGAAAGAAAUCGGCAACUUGACUAUGCUCAAAGGCAUAUAUCUCGAAUACAACAAACUCCACGGUAUGUUCAUAAUACUAUGUAAAUGUUUUAAUUUCUCAAUUGUUAUUUUCUUGAAUACUUUAGACAAGAUCUUGUAAGGGAGAUAUUUUUGGAUCUGUGUUAAUUUGCCAGGUGAGAUACCCCACGAAAUCGCUAAUCUUCGAAAUCUAGAGGAUUUAUUGCUUGGAAUGAACAACCUAGUUGGUGUGUUACCAGCUCCAAUCUUCAACAUGUCAACACUGAAAUUAUUUGACCUCAUAAAUAACUCUCUCUCCGGAAGUCUUCCAUCAAGAAUAGACCUUUCACUUCCAACUGUUGAGUUUUUUGGCUUGGCACUUAAUAGAUUUUCUGGAACCAUUCCUAGUUCCAUCACCAAUGCUUCUAAGCUCACCGUUCUAGCGUUGGGAGAGAACACAUUUUCGGGCUUCAUUCCAAACACAAUUGGUAAUUUAAGAAACCUUGAGUGGCUCAGCUUGGAGAAUAAUUACUUGAAAUCUUCAACCUCAAAAUUGAGCUUUCUUUCCUCUUUGGCAAAUUGCAAGAAAUUAAGAUUCUUAAACUUAGCAGGCAAUCCACUUGACGGCUUCCUUCCAAGUUCAAUAGGUAAUCUUUCUGUGUCUUUGGAAACACUUUUCAUCGGCAAUUGCAGUAUUAGUGGCAACAUUCCUCAAGCAAUUAGCAAUUUAAGCAACUUGUUGACCUUAGUAUUAGAAGGCAAUAAAUUGACUGGACCAAUUCCAAUUACAUUUGGCCGACUACAGAAACUCCAAGGCUUAGAUCUUGCAUUCAAUAAGUUGGUAGGUUCAUUCCCAGAUGAGCUUUGCCAUCUAGCAAGGCUGGAUCAAUUGGUCUUAUUUGGCAAUAAGCUUUCAGGAUCUAUACCUUCAUGCCUAAGUAAUCUCACUUCUCUAAGAUCUCUCUACUUAGGGUCCAAUAGGUUAACUUCUGUUAUUCCCUCAACUUUCUGGAGCCUAAAAUACAUCUUGUUCUUUGACUUUUCAUCAAAUUUCUUGGUUGGUACUCUUUCUUUCGACAUAGGUAAUUUGAAGGUGCUUCUAGGAAUAAAUUUAUCAGAAAAUAACUUAUCGGGUGAUAUGCCAGCCACAAUUGGAGGACUGAAAGAUCUUCAAUUUAUGGACCUAGCAUUUAAUAGAUUGGAAGGCCCAAUUCCUGAAUCAUUUGGUGACUUGACAAGUUUGGAGGUUUUGAAUUUGUCAAAAAAUAAAAUCUCUGGGUCUAUUCCAACAUCCAUGGAGAAACUCAUUUACCUUCGAGAGUUAAAUCUCUCUUUCAAUAAACUUGAAGGUGAGAUUCCUAGUGGAGGAAUUUUUACCAACUUCACAGCUGAGUCAUUUAUGGGAAAUGAGUUAUUGUGUGGUUUACCAAAUCUUCAAGUCCAACCAUGCAAACUUAGCAAGCCUAGGACAGAACAUAAAUCAAGGAAAAAGAUACUUCUCAUUGUGAUUGUUUUGCCAUUGAGUAUUGCUCUAACGAUAGCAAUCACUCUAGCUCUCAAAUCUAAGCUGAUCGAAUGUAGAAAAAGAGGCACAGAGUUAUCAAAUGAUAGUAUCUUGUCAUCAGAAGCAACACUAAGAAGAUUUUUAUACUUAGAACUUUUACAAGCAACAGAUAAUUUUGCUGAAAACAACAUAAUUGGCAGAGGAGGUUUUGGUUCCGUUUAUGGAGCAAGACUUGAAGAUGGGAUGAAGAUUGCAAUAAAAGUGUUUCACCAGCAAUGUGCAAGCGCAUUGAAGAGUUUUGAGGCUGAAUGUGAAGUGUUAAAAAAUAUUCACCAUCGAAACCUUAUCAAAGUUAUCAGCAGUUGCUCGAACGAUGACUUCAAAGCAUUAGUCCUAGAAUACAUGUCCAACGGGAGCUUGGAGGAUUGGCUGCAUUCUAGCAAUUAUGUGCUGAAUAUAUUUCAGAGGUUGAACAUAAUGAUUGACGUUGCAUCAGCUUUAGAAUAUCUCCACUUCGAUCAUUCAACUGCUAUUAUUCAUUGUGACUUAAAGCCUAGUAAUGUAUUGUUGGACGAAAAUAUGGUUGCUCAUUUGAGUGAUUUUGGCAUAGCAAAGCUUUUAAGUGGAGAGGAUGAGUCUACGAUACGAACAAAAACCCUUGCCACUCUAGGUUAUAUGGCACCAGGUUUGCUUCAAACAA
rnacentral:lncRNA from 1 species